UAUAACAGUUUUAUACUUUUGUUUGGCUUUUUUAUAUUAUGUUUUUAAAAAAAAAUUGUUUUAGCAGAAAGGAGUGAUUAUUAUAGGGUGUGAUUUUACAUUAAAUUGGCUUGGCUUUACCGCUUUACACAUGGACGAUGGUCCCUUUUUGCAAAUAUGACUGUGUGAGGGAGGAGAAAACAGCAAUCAGGAGAAGUUAUCCAUCCAACCACGUGUGUCGCAACCCAUCUCCACUCUCCCAAUCAUCACCUAAUUUUCCACCCUCCGAUCCCACUCAUCAACGGCUCCCCACUCAUUCUACUGACAACACCUUUAAGAUUCUAACACGUGUCCUUUUAGAAAACAAGACAACCCAUAUGAUCCUACGGCUUCAACUUGCCAAAAAAACAACGCCACCUUUUUCUUUCUUCUUUUUCAAUACUAUAUUAUUAUUAUUAUUAUUAUUUGUAUCCAUUAUUCUUUCUUCCCUGCGCCGCAGCGCAUGUUAUCAAAGAUCUCUCUCUCCAACCAUGACAGAAAAAAAAAACAGAAAAGAAUAAAUAUAAUAUCAAAAUUAAAAAAAAACAACCCCCUCUUUUUAAGGCCUGACCCAUAAAUCAAACAUUCAAACACCUCCACUCAUCUUUUUCCCAUAACAACCCUCCGAUUUCCUCGAUUUUCUUCGCUGAUCCACGACAUCUACAGGGUAUUCUUGUAAUUUACACCUUUUCUUGUCUUUGUGUUGUUGUUUUUUUUUUUUUUUUAAAUUAAUAUAAUAAUAUUACUUUUUGAAAUGUAUAAUUUAUAAAAGUUGUGAAUAAACGUGAUUUGUUUUUUAAAAACAAAUUGUAGGAAUUCUGAGAGUUCAAUUGGUAUGAAGGGACAGGGCAACGGCGGUAGGGGGGUUUGUUCACCGGAUAGAGGAGGGGGUGUGCAGGAUAAGAGAAGUACACAUAACACAAACGCCAACGCCAACCACCACCAUAAUGGGAAGAACAAUAAUAACGGCGGUGGUAGUGGUGGUGGUGGAUCGGGGUCGUCGGAGACGGCGCUUGAUAUGAAGAAAGGAGGGACAUCGCCAGGGAGUGAGGCGGUUCCGAUUGUCUGGCCCCCAAAAUUUGUGAUCGGAUUGACGAAUAAGGAGAAAGAAGAAGAUUUCUUGGCGAUUAAAGGCUCUAAACUUCCUCAGAGACCCAAGAAACGGGCCAAGUUCAUCCAACGCACCAUCAACGUAUGCCUCUCUCUCUCUCUAAACUCCCUUUCUCUUUUUUUCAUUUCUUUAAAUCUUUUAAUAAUAAUUAAAAAAAAUACUAGUAUGAUAAUUAUUACUUUUGACAAGGAUUUGCAUAUAAAAAUCAUAAAUUGUUGACCAACUUCAUUGUUUGUGAUCACAUGAUAAUUAUUACUUUUGACAAGGAUUUGCAUAUAAAAAUCAUAAAUUGUUGACCAACUNNNNNNNNNNNNNNNNNNNNNNNNNNNNNNNNNNNNNNNNNNNNNNNNNNNNNNNNNNNNNNNNNNNNNNNNNNNNNNNNNNNNNNNNNNNNNNNNNNNNNNNNNNNNNNNNNNNNNNNNNNNNNNNNNNNNNNNNNNNNNNNNNNNNNNNNNNNNNNNNNNNNNNNNNNNNNNNNNNNNNNNNNNNNNNNNNNNNNNNNNNNNNNNNNNNNNNNNNNNNNNNNNNNNNNNNNNNNNNNNNNNNNNNNNNNNNNNNNNNNNNNNNNNNNNNNNNNNNNNNNNNNNNNNNNNNNNNNNNNNNNNNNNNNNNNNNNNNNNNNNNNNNNNNNNNNNNNNNNNNNNNNNNNNNNNNNNNNNNNNNNNNNNNNNNNNNNNNNNNNNNNNNNNNNNNNNNNNNNNNNNNNNNNNNNNNNNNNNNNNNNNNNNNNNNNNNNNNNNNNNNNNNNNNNNNNNNNNNNNNNNNNNNNNNNNNNNNNNNNNNNNNNNNNNNNNNNNNNNNNNNNNNNNNNNNNNNNNNNNNNNNNNNNNNNNNNNNNNNNNNNNNNNNNNNNNNNNNNNNNNNNNNNNNNNNNNNNNNNNNNNNNNNNNNNNNNNNNNNNNNNNNNNNNNNNNNNNNNNNNNNNNNNNNNNNNNNNNNNNNNNNNNNNNNNNNNNNNNNNNNNNNNNNNNNNNNNNNNNNNNNNNNNNNNNNNNNNNNNNNNNNNNNNNNNNNNNNNNNNNNNNNNNNNNNNNNNNNNNNNNNNNNNNNNNNNNNNNNNNNNNNNNNNNNNNNNNNNNNNNNNNNNNNNNNNNNNNNNNNNNNNNNNNNNNNNNNNNNNNNNNNNNNNNNNNNNNNNNNNNNNNNNNNNNNNNNNNNNNNNNNNNNNNNNNNNNNNNNNNNNNNNNNNNNNNNNNNNNNNNNNNNNNNNNNNNNNNNNNNNNNNNNNNNNNNNNNNNNNNNNNNNNNNNNNNNNNNNNNNNNNNNNNNNNNNNNNNNNNNNNNNNNNNNNNNNNNNNNNNNNNNNNNNNNNNNNNNNNNNNNNNNNNNNNNNNNNNNNNNNNNNNNNNNNNNNNNNNNNNNNNNNNNNNNNNNNNNNNNNNNNNNNNNNNNNNNNNNNNNNNNNNNNNNNNNNNNNNNNNNNNNNNNNNNNNNNNNNNNNNNNNNNNNNNNNNNNNNNNNNNNNNNNNNNNNNNNNNNNNNNNNNNNNNNNNNNNNNNNNNNNNNNNNNNNNNNNNNNNNNNNNNNNNNNNNNNNNNNNNNNNNNNNNNNNNNNNNNNNNNNNNNNNNNNNNNNNNNNNNNNNNNNNNNNNNNNNNNNNNNNNNNNNNNNNNNNNNNNNNNNNNNNNNNNNNNNNNNNNNNNNNNNNNNNNNNNNNNNNNNNNNNNNNNNNNNNNNNNNNNNNNNNNNNNNNNNNNNNNNNNNNNNNNNNNNNNNNNNNNNNNNNNNNNNNNNNNNNNNNNNNNNNNNNNNNNNNNNNNNNNNNNNNNNNNNNNNNNNNNNNNNNNNNNNNNNNNNNNNNNNNNNNNNNNNNNNNNNNNNNNNNNNNNNNNNNNNNNNNNNNNNNNNNNNNNNNNNNNNNUGAAAAGAACAAGGAAAAAAAGUGUUUGAUGGUUUAUAUUGGAUUUGGAGGAACAGAGACCGAGAGGACUAAAGGCGAUGGGGAGUAUGACUAUGGAGUCGGAGUCUGAAUAAAGAAGCGGUGAAAUGGUGUAUUUACAAGUGGUUUGAUUAAGUAAAAUAUUCCACAUCCAUUUGUUUGUUUUAGCCAGGGCAGGUGAGACUGAGAGAACAGGAGGAGAAACAUUGAGCUUGUAUUUAGUAUUUUCAUCAAUUUUCUCCUUGAGGUAAUCCUUUAUUUUGUUAUCCCCAAAGGAAACAAAUGUGUUAAUCGAUCCCAUCUUAUAUUAAAAAAAACAAACAAACAAAUCAUACCAAACGUAUUUAUGCUCGCAAACUCAUUACGUAAUAAUAUCAAUUUUUUGAUUAGUUUACGUUUUAAUCUCAAAUUAAAUUUUACUUACAAAAAAUGACAGAUUACAGGCUAAAACUUCAGAAUAACCCUUCGUGACUAGUUUUACGGAUUUAGCUAAUAUCUCGUCAUUUUUCAUUAAUAUAUCAAAAUUUGGUACUGUGAUUUUUACUCAAGUUGACCAUACUUCAUCUAAAGAAACGAGGAAUGGUAUAAACGCCAACAUAUUUCCUUAGUUGUUCUUUUAUAUCAAUAUCCAACAGAAUACCAACGACAAUUUUGAUAUUUCUUAUGGUUUGAGAUUUGAAAUUGCAUCUUUUGCUUCCUAAGUUUUGAUAUUUCAUUCUUUGUAAGAAUCUCCAUGGGUAAGGCAAAAUAUUCGACCAACAUCGGUAGGUUUGAUAUUUAUUAUGGUUUGAAAUUUGAAAUUGCGUCUUUUGCUUCCUAAGUUUUGAUAUUUUGUUCUUUGUAAGAAUUUCCAUGGGUAAUGCAAAAUAUAUGACCAACAUCGGUGGGUUUGAUAUUUCUUAUGGUUUGAAAUUUGAAAUUGUAUCUUUUACUUCCUAAGUUUUGAUAUUUCGUUCUAUGUAAGAAUCUCCAUGCGUCAGGAAAAAUAUAUGACCAACAUCGGUGGGUUUGAAAGAGCCUUGGUUAUUUUUCAUUGGUGCUCUCACUAUACACUUGAAAAAGAAGCCAAGUCAAAACUUCGACACGAGUAGGGUUCAUGAUGGGUUUUCCAUAUUUUGCGGUCAUUGCUUUGACUUUCAGUUUGAGGUCGUUUAUCUUUGAGUUGGGGGGAACAUGAAACUUCUUGUGACACAAUCAUCCGAUCUCUCAAGGUUUAAUCUCAUAGAAUUUACGUUCAUGUGUUGAAAAUGAAUAAACUCGGGGUUUAUGGAGAACUCAUGCUUCUCCACUCUUGAGCAAAAUUGUGUUAUUUUAUCCAAAAGUGUGUAUCACGAAUAUAUGAAAAGCAAUAUACAUAAAAAAAGUCUUUCCUUCUUUUGAGGUCCUCAAUCGUUGCAAAAUAUGAUAAUUAUUAUUAAAGAACCAAUUAAUAAUCAUCAUUAAAAAUACUUUGGCCUUGUUAUGUUUGAUGUUGUUCAUCUUAUUUUUACAUUAAAGAAUCAAUUAAUAAUCAUUAUUAAAAAGUCCUUUGAAUGAUAUUAAUUAAAUUAGGGAGUUUCAAAGGCAUAAUAAUCAAGGAAAAUGUUUCAUAUAUACUAGGUGAAUUUAUGCGUGUUACGCAGAAACACCUAUAUAGUUGAAAUCUUUACAAAUAUGUGUUUUUUGAAAUAUAACAAUAAUGUUGUUUUUAAACUUGAUAUAUACAUCUAUUAUAACUGCAUAAUCUUAAUCGUAUGAAUGACCAUUACCUGCGUGUUACUCAUUAAAAAAAAAUUAAAUAUAAUAUAUGGUUUAAUGUUAGUUAUAGAUGUUAAUCUUAAUGAAUUUUUAAAAUUUUUUUUUUUUUUACAUUUUAAUUUAUAUCAUUGAAAUUAUUUGAAAAUCAAACAUUGUUUUUCAUAUUUAAAGGUAACAAUAUAAUCAUUUAUAUGCAGUUAUUUUUAACUAUUGUUAUUGUAAGUUAUUUUAAGUUACUUAUUUGAAAACUUUUAAUGAUUAUAAAAAUAUAUUUAGGAAAUAUUUUAGUAAAAAAUUGAGAUUACGAUUUAGUUUUUUCAUUUAGCAUUAUAAUUUAUCACUUUUAAUUAUUCACAAAAUAUUCUUUGGGUUUUCUAAGUGACACUAAAAUUUAUAUUUAAGUUGAUCAUGUAAUGUUUUAAAUUAACAAUUUAAGUAUUUUAUCCAAACUGUUCAAAAGUUGUAGCUUUUAAAGAAAAAAUGUAUGAGAGUUUUAUCCAAUAUGGUUAUAUAUGUUUUUUUUAAUAUAACAAUAACGUUGUUCUUAAAUUUAAUAUAAUAAUUCGUAUACUAUAUUGAUUAUUUUUAAUUAUAUUGAUAUAUACUAGUUUAUAACCUGUGAGAACCACGAUUAUAAAAUUAAUUAAACUUUCAUAUUAAAAAAUCAAAAUUAUUAAUCAAUUAUUUAAAAUAAAUAUUUACUUAAAAUAAAAAAAUUUAGUUAUAUAAAAUUAUAAUCGUUGAUUUAAAUAAAUAUAUUAAGUUAUAUCAUCUUAUAAUUUGUAUUAAUUUUAUUUUAUUUUUUAAUCUAAUGUUAUUAAUUUAGUAUAAUUAUAGUGAAAAAAUUUAAAAAUUGAAAUUUAAAAUGGAAAAUCAAUUAUUAAUUUAAUGUAAUUAUAGUGAGAAAUUUAAAAUUUGAAAUUUGAAAUUGAUAAUUAAUAAGUUGACAAGUGGCAUUAUAUGUGACAUAUAAUAUUAAUGAGGAGUUUUAAUAGUAUGACACUUGUCAAUAGAAAAAUAAACCUAUUCAUUUAUUNAUAAUAUAUGGUUUAAUUUUAUUUAUAGUUGUUGUUAUUGUUAAUUAAUUUUUUUUUUAAUUUAUAAUGUUUUAAUUUCUAUCAUUAUAAUUAUUUAAAAUAUCAAACAUUAUUUUUUGAUUUUAAAGGUCACAAUAUAACCAUUUAUACAAAGUUAUUUUUAAUUAUUGUUAUUAGAAGUUAUUUUAAGCUACUUAUUUGAAAACUUUUAACGAUUAUAAAAAUAUCUUUAGGAAAUGGUUUACAUGCAAUAACAUUGUAAAUCUAAUAAAUUAAGUAUAAUAUAUUAAAAGUUAAAGACAUAACUUUAUAAGCAGAAGUAAAGAUAUUAUUUUAAAAUUGAAAUAUAGUUUAUUUAUGAUUACAGUUUAGGUUUAAUAUUUAUUUAAUCUUAUUAACCAACUUAUAAUCAUUAUUAGAAAGACUCUACAAUUGAUCAUUUUAACUAUUUACAAAAUAUUUUUUGGGAUGUUUAAUUUAAACUAAAAUUUAUAUUUAAGUUGACCCUGUAAUGUUAUAUUUAAAUUAAUAAUUUAAGUAUUUUAUACAAAUUGUUCAAAAGUUGUAUUUUUAAAAUGAUAAUGGUUUGCAUUCAAAAAUAUAUUAAAACUAAUAAAUUAAGUAUAACAUGUUAAAAGUUAAAAAACAUAACUUAAUAAGUAGAAGUAAAGAUAUUAUUUUAAUAUUGAAAUUUAGUUUAUAUAUGAUUACACUUUAGGUUUGAUAUUUAUUUAACCUUAUUAACUAACUUCUAAUUAUUAUUAGAAAGAAAUUGAAAAGCCAUUCGAGUUUCAAAUGAAUGUGGUGAAAGGAAAAAUGCAUGAGAGUUUCAAAUGAAUGUGCAUUUUAUUAAAUAUAACAAUAACGCUGUUAUUAAAUAUGAUAUAAUAAUUCGUAUACUAAAUUGAUAUAAUUUAUUGAUUAUUUUGAAUCCUAUGAUAAUAUAUACAUCUAUUAUAAGUGCAUAAUCUCAACCGUUUGAAUGACUUCUACCCGUGAUGUAACAGCCCGGAAUUUCAGGUAUUCUUAUAUUUAUGGUUUUGGGUGUUUUAAGAGGGGACUCGGCGAGUUGGAGCCUAGACUCGCCGAGUAGGAUCGCGGAUCUGGCCGCGGGUUCGCGACUGGACUCGACGAGUCCGGAUAUGGACUCGGCGAGUCUGCGCUGUUUAGCGAAAACCCUAACCGUUCAGGUUUGGGACGUAUAUGAGGGACUUUAUGGCCGUCAUUGUUCACCCUAGUCCUCUGAGAGAAACCCUAAUUCGAUUGUGAGCAUCUGGAGCAAGGUAGAAGACCAUUGUUGAUUUUGGAAGUGUUGUUUUGCAAGGAAGAGGAGGCUUGGUUAAGGGAACAACAAGGGAAGCCACGUUCUGAGAAUUGGGGACACAAAGAGCACGUUAUUCAGGUAAUAUUUCGAAUUGCAUCCUUCUAUGAUUGAUGUGUAUAUGGAUUUAGGGUUUAUUGAACCCUUUUGUGGCUAGAUUGAGUGUUACCUUAGUCCCCCAAACGAUUGGAACCCUGUAUUGGGAUCUUUGGAAGUCCAGAAUGUCCCAUGCCUGAACAUUUCGUGAAUCAAUGGAGGUUUUGGAUUGGAAUCCUUAUGCCUUAGGUCAAAAUGUAAAUUAUGAGUCAUGGGGUGUAUUAUGAGCACCGAAAUGAGGACCUUACGUGAUGAAUCAGUCUAGGAAGGCCAGACCUAUGAAUGGUCGGAGCAGUUCUGACCUUAGAAAGCAGUUUGAGCGGUUGCAUGGCAUGGACUCGCCGAGUCCGAUGAACAGACUCGGCGAGUAGCUUGAAGAUUAACUGGGACUCGUCGAGUUGUUCUUCAGACUCGGCGAGUUGAGUCGGGGUGGCCCCGCGAUUCUUCCAGGAGGAACUCGUCGAGUCAGGGGAGAUACUCGACGAGUAGAAAGGGAAUCUUAGAGAAUUGGUGAGGACGUCUAGACUCGCCGAGUCGCCCUAGCACUCGCCGAGUCCGGUCAAAGUUGACCGUUGACCGUUGACCAGAGUGGACCUGUGUUGACUUCUUAGGGAUAGUCAACAUUAGAGAUAUAAAGUGUUAACUAGGGACAUUAUGAUGUUAUAGGAGGAUUAGAGCUCGGAGAAUCGGGCACGAGGGAUUCCCAGGUUGUGAGAUAUCGAGACACGCGAGGUGAGUCUUCUCACUAUACUUUACCUUGAGUAGGUAACCAGAGUUAUAUGAUAGAGUAUUUGUAUGCUAUGUAUGUUAUGUGUUGCACUGCAUUCUUCUAUGUGAUUUAUGCUAUGCUUGUUUACAGAGUUAGAACCUGAGGGUUCACAGAGUAUGGGUGCACGGACCCACAGAGUUAUAGCCUCGAGUGGCUAAUAUGUGUUACAUAGUAUUUUGGGGAACUCACUAAGCUUUAUGCUUACAGUGUUGGUGUUAAUUAUUUCAGGUACUAGUGAGGAUCGCGGCAAGGCGUCGGCCUGAUCAGUGCACACACGCGGGACUUUUAUAUUAUGUGAUCUUGGGGAUUUUAUAUAUGUUAUGAAAUGAAUUACAAACAAUGAUGUUUUUAUGAAUAUUAAAUGAAGUUAUCUUUAUUAAAUGUGAAAAAUUAUUUUUUAAAUAUUUGGUGUUACAAUUUGGUAUCAGAGCCUUGGUUUGAGGGAUUCGAGUACACCUUCGGGCGUAUUUGGACUCAAACUGAGGAUUGAGAUGUAAUUUUCAAAAGGUUAAAAGAUUUUUAAAAGACGCAGAGCAAGAGAUGUGUGUACUAUCAGCCCGCGCCCGAACGGUGAUUUCCCAAAAUACCCUUACAUUAUGUGAUGUUAAUAUUGAUAUGAUGUAUCUGCAUGCUAGAGUAGGCUAGGCAUUGCUAUUAGAACUAGAUUGGCCUGAUUGUGUUGCCUUAGCCUAGGGAGAGGUGAGCUGCUAUGAGAUACUUGAGAGUGAGUAGGUAGCAGCGAGGGACUUAUGAGAGAUCUAUUAGAGAGUGGUCUACGCAUGAUAGAGUACUUGAGACCUGGAAUCCGAAGAGGAGGACUUGGAGUGUAUUCUGGUGCGGUGCGGACAGUAGUAUUGGGCCCGUACUACUGGAAGCACCGGAGCGGGGUGCAGCCCAAGUAAGAAUCUUUGGAAUGCCAAGAAUCAAGGAGGAAAGAGUUGACGAGUGUGAGUGUGUUCGUGGGGAUUCUAAAUUUAUUGUAUGUCGUAUUUCAGCGGUAGAUCAUGGUGAGGACACGUUUCACGUCCGAGAGCAGUGGUACCAGUGAGGAGGAUAUCCGCCGGAUCAUCCAGGAGGAGGUAGCUGCAGCCAUCAGGGCAGAGAUUCCGGAGAUGUUUGGGUCCAUAAAGACCACACUGAUUGAGACGUUCGACGAGCGUUAUGCCGCUCUUACUGAGGCUGCUGCUGCAGCGGCUACCGCAGCGGUGACUGCUGCAAGGCCGCAGGGUGGGGACGCGUUACUAUUCCGGGAAUUCAGCAACACAAAACCACCAGAGUUCGAUGGGACCCCGGGUCCGGUGGCAGCGAUGAGGUGGAUAUCUGAUAUUGAGGGGUGCUUCUUCACUUGCUCGUCUCCUGAGCAUUUGAAGGUCCGAUUCGCGCUGAACCAGCUUCGCUUGGGAGCGAAGGACUGGUGGAAGUUUGCAACGGCGCAUUAUACGCCUGCUGAGCUUUCUGCGGUGACCUGGGAGAGGUUCACCACCAUGUUUCGAGAUGAGUACGUUCCCCAGGUGGAGAGGGAGCGUUUAGCACAGGAGUUUCUGACCCUCAAGCAGGGUACUGAGUCUGUUACAGCAAUCACGAGGAUGUUCCACGAGAGGGCGAUGUUCUGCCCUGAGCACGUGCCCACUGAGCAGGCACGUAUGAGCCGCUACUUGAGCGUCUUGAGGCGGGAUAUUCGGGAGUUCGCUGCAAACUCCUCGUACCGGACAUUUGCCGAGCUUCAGGCAAAUGCCCGGAAGAGGGAGAUCGAGCUUGAGACUCAGGCCAGGGAGGAGGCGGAGUCUCAGGGGAGGGAUCGGCGACCGGCACAGUCGCAGCCGGCCGCCAAGCGGGCCAAGCCUGCUGAUCCCAGACCAGGGAGCCAGAAGGGCCGCACUUGCGGAAAGUGCGGCAAGGGGCAUGACGGAGUUUGCCGAGCGGGGUCUUGCUACAAAUGUGGCAAGGAGGGGCACAUGGCCAAGGACUGCCCCAAGGGGUUUGCAGUGUGCUUUCACUGCAACCAGACUGGACACCGGAAGGCUGAGUGUCCGCAGCUGCGCGGAGCACCUCAGGGAUCUGCUCCUGCCGCCAUCAGAGCUACAGAGAGUCGGCCUAUGAAGACCGAGGCACCGAGAGCUCGAGGGAGAGCCUUCCAGCUGACUGCGGAGGAAGUCCGCGCUGCGCCCGAUGUGGUGGCUGGUACGUUUCCUUUCAUGUAUUUAUAUUGAUGUUGAAAUAUUAUGCUUAUAUUAGGUUAUGCGUAGGUACCUUCCUUGUGAAUUCUGUGCCUGCUUUAGUGUUAUUUGACUCGGGUGCGAGUCGGUCUUUUGUAUCUCUGGCCUUUAGUCAGCAUAUCAGUGUUAGUCGUGAGGCAUUGAGUCGGCCUCUGAGAGUUUCCAUAGCUGAUGAUAGAGUGAUUUGUGCCACGGGGGUUUUCCGGGGAUGUGUGUUAGAGAUUUUUGGGGUUGAGUUUCCGAUUGACCUAAUUCCUAUCGCGAUGGGUGAUGUCUGUGUCAUUGUGGGCAUGGACUGGUUGAGCCGAUUCAGCGCAGUCAUCGACUGCGAGCGUCAGCUGGUGACUAUACGAGACCCUAGUGGGGGAGUUCUUUCGGUGUACGGCGAGGGUACGCGUUCGGGAUCAGCCUUUUGUUCGGCCGCCAGAGCGAGGCAGUGUCUACAGCAGGGCUGUAAGGGUUUUGUGGCGUAUGUGAUGGAUACGCGAGCGACUUCCGAGAGACCGAGUUCAGUUGAGGAGGUACCGGUGGUACGUGAGUUUCCAGAUGUCUUUCCCGAGGAGCUGCCGGGAGUACCUCCUGUGAGGCAAGUGGAGUUUGGUAUUGAUUUGGUUCCGGGGGCCGCGCCUAUCGCUAAGGUGCCUUAUCGUCUUGCACCUCCAGAGAUGCAAGAGUUAUCCUCGCAGCUUCAGGAGUUGCUGGGGAAGGGAUUCAUUCGGCCGAGCAGCUCGCCGUGGGGAGCACCUAUUCUGUUCGUCAAGAAGAAAGAUGGUUCACACCGGAUGUGCAUUGAUUACCGGGAGUUGAACAAGUUGACGGUCAAGAACCGUUACCCAUUACCGAGGAUCGACGAUUUAUUUGAUCAGUUGCAGGGAGCAUCUUGGUUUUCCAAGAUCGACUUGAGGUCGGGAUAUCAUCAAGUGAAAGUGCGGGAUGAGGACGUACAGAAGACAGCAUUCAGGACGCGAUAUGGGCAUUAUGAGUUUGUGGUGAUGCCUUUUGGGCUCACCAACGCCCCGGCUGUAUUCAUGGAUCUCAUGAACAGGGUAUGUAGGCCGAUGUUGGAUCGGUCAGUGAUUGUAUUUAUCGAUGAUAUUUUGGUGUAUUCGAGAUCUAGAGAGCAGCAUGAGGAACAUUUGAGGGAGGUCCUUGGGGUUUUGAGAUCGGAGAAGCUUUAUGCAAAGUUCUCCAAGUGUGACUUCUGGUUGCGGGAGGUCCAAUUCCUAGGACAUGUUGUUAAUCAGGAAGGGAUAUUGGUCGAUCCGGCCAAGGUUGAGGCGGUGAUGAGUUGGGAGGUGCCGAAGUCACCCUCUGAGAUCAGGAGUUUCCUUGGAUUGGCAGGGUAUUAUCGGAGAUUUAUUAAGGACUUCUCCAGAAUUGCAGUGCCACUUACUAGAUUGACCCGAAAGGGGGUUGCAUUCUCAUGGGGACCCGAGCAGCAGACCUCUUUUGAGACACUUCGCCAGAGAUUGUGCGAAGCCCCGGUGUUAGCUCUCCCGGAAGGGAUGGAGGAUUUUGUAGUUUAUUGUGAUGCAUCUAUUUCGGGGUUGGGUGCAGUUCUGAUGCAAAGAGGGCAUGUAAUAGCAUAUGCAUCGAGGCAGCUGAAGCCUCACGAGACGAGAUAUCCCACGCAUGAUCUAGAGCUGGGGGCGGUAGUGUUCGCCCUCAAGAUUUGGCGUCAUUACUUGUAUGGGGUUCGUUGCACGAUAUACACGGACCAUAAGAGUUUGAAGUACUUGAUGGACCAGCCCAACCUAAACAUGCGUCAGAGGAGGUGGUUGGAUGUGGUCAAGGAUUAUGAUUGCGAGAUCCUGUACCACCCGGGCAAAGCUAAUGUGGUAGCAGAUGCGUUGAGCCGUAAGGGGGAGAGCACUCCACUACGAAAUGUAUGUUUGAGGUUGACCGUGAUAGCUCCAGUACUGGAUGCCAUUCGUGGGGCACAGUCUGAGGCUAUGCAACCGGAGAUGCAGAAGAGGGAACGGGUCGUUGGUUUGGUUUCAGAGUUCGUUACUGAUGUUCGAGGGUUGAUGACCUUUCAGGGUCGGAUUUGGGUACCGUUUGUGGGCGGUACGCGUACUACUUUGAUGGAGGAGGCACAUCGAUCGAAAUUCUCGAUCCAUCCCGGGGCUACAAAGAUGUAUUUGGAUUUGAGGAGAGAAUAUUGGUGGCCCUGCAUGAAGAGGGACGUCGCGUGGUUUGUCGAGAGGUGCUUGACCUGCCGUAGGGUUAAGGCCGAGCACCAGAGACCGCAUGGCAAGUUGCAGCCAUUGGAGGUUCCCGAGUGGAAGUGGGAACAGAUCACUAUGGAUUUCAUCACCAAAUUGCCGAGGACUGCCAGAGGAGUUGAUGCAAUUUGGGUGAUUGUAGACAGAUUGACGAAGAGCGCUCACUUCCUUGCCAUUAGUGAGAGUUCUUCAGCAGAGAAAUUGGCGGAGGUGUAUGUGAGAGAAGUAGUAUCUCGGCAUGGGGUGCCGAUCUCGAUUGUUUCAGAUCGUGAUGUGCGUUUCACUUCUAGGUUCUGGAAGAAAUUUCAUGAGGAGUUGGGUACUAGAUUGCAUUUUAGUACCGCAUAUCAUCCCCAGACAGACGGUCAGAGUGAGCGGACGAUUCAGACGCUCGAGGACAUGCUUCGGGCGUGUGUGUUGGAUUUUGGGGGUAGCUGGGAUGCGUAUUUGCCCUUGGCGGAGUUUUCCUACAACAACAGCCAUCAUUCGAGCAUCGGUAUGCCGCCCUUUGAGCUGUUGUAUGGUAGGAGGUGUCGGACCCCCAUUUGUUGGGGAGAGGUGGGACAGAGAGUGAUGGGCAGUACAGAGAUCGUGCUUCAGACGACAGAGCAGAUUCAGCAGGUUAGACAGAGGUUAUUGACCGCCCAGAGCCGACAGAAAAGUUAUGCAGACAGACGCCGGUCCGAGCUUGAGUUUCAGGUCGGCGACUUCGUACUCCUGAAGGUCUCUCCUUGGAAAGGAGUGAUUCGAUUCAGGAAGAGGGGCAAGUUGGGGCCCCGGUAUAUUGGGCCUUUUCGUGUGAUUGCGAGGGUAGGCCGGGUGGCCUACCGUUUGGAGUUGCCAACGGAAUUGAGACAGAUCCACGACACUUUUCAUGUGUCGCAAUUGAGAAAGUGUAUAGCCGAUGAGUCGGCAGUGGUUCCAUUAGAGGACAUUCAGGUGGAUGCGAGCCUGAAUUAUGCCGAGAGACCAGUGGCCAUCAGAGAUCGGAAGAUCAAGGUUCUGAGGAAUAAGGAGAUACCUCUGGUGUUAGUUCAGUGGCAGCACCGGAAGGGAUCGGAAAUGACCUGGGAGCCGGAGCGUGAGAUGCGGGAGCAGCAUCCGGAGCUAUUUUCAGAGUGAGACUUCGAGGGCGAAGUCUAGUCCUAGUGGGGGAGAGUUGUAACAGCCCGGAAUUCCAGGUAUUGUUAUAUUUAUGAUUUUGGGUGUUUUAAGAGGGGACUCGGCGAGUUGGAGCUCAGACUCGCCGAGUAGGAUCGCGGAUCUGGUCGCGGGUUCGCGACUGGACUCGGCGAGUCCGGAUAUGGACUCGGCGAGUCCGCGCUGUUUAGCGAAACCCUAACUUUCCAGGUUUGGGACAUAUAUAAGGGGCCUUAUGGCCGUCAUUGUUCACCCUAGUCCUUUGAGUGAAACCCUAAUUCGAUUGUGAGCAUCUGGAGCAAGGUAGAAGACCAUUAUUGAUCUUGGAAGUGUUAUUUUGCAAGGAGGAGGAGGCUUGGUUAAGGGAACAACAAGAGAAGCCACAUUCUGAGGAUUGGGGACACAGAGCAACGUUAUUCAGGUAAUAUUUUCGAGUUGCAUUCUUCUAUGUUGAUGUGUAUAUGGAUUUAGGGUUUAUUGAACCCUUUUGUGGCUAGAUUGAGUGUUUCCUUAGUCCCCCAAGCGAUUGGAACCCUAUAUUGGGACCCUUGGAAGUCCAGAAUGUCCCAUGCCUGAGCUUUUCGGGAAUCAAUGGAGGUUUUGGAUUGGAAUCCUUAUGCCUUAGGUCAAAACGUCAAUUAUGAGUCAUGGGGUGUAUUAUGAGCACCGAAAUAAGGACUUUACGUGAUGAACCAGUCUAGGAAGGCCAGACCUAUGAAUUGCCGGAGCAGAUCUGACCUUAGAAAGCAGUUUGAGCGGUUGCAUGGCAUGGACUCGCCGAGUCCGAUGAACAGACUCGGCGAGUAGCUUGAAGAUUGCCUUAGAAUGGUCCUGUCCGGGUUAUGGGUUGGAUCGGUGAGUCAGGGCGAGUUAGAGAGGGUUAACAGGUGGUCUGAGUCGAACUGGGACUCGCCGAGUUGUUCUUCAGACUCGGCGAGUUGAGUCGGGGUGGCCCCGCGAUUCUUCCAGGAGGAACUCGUCGAGUCAGGGGGGAUACUCGACGUGUAGAAAGGGAAUCUUAGAGAAUUGGUGAGGACGUCUAGACUCGCCGAGUCGCCCUAGCACUCGCCGAGUCCGGUCAAAGUUGACCGUUGACCGUUGACCAGAGUGGACCUGUGUUGACUUCUUAGGGAUAGUCAACAUUAGAGAUAUAAAGUGUUAACUAGGGACAUUAUGAUGUUAUAGGAGGAUUAGAGCUCGGAGAAUCGGGCACGAGGGAUUCCCAGGUUGUGAGAUAUCGAGACACGCGAGGUGAGUCUUCUCACUAUACUUUACCUUGAGUAGGUAACCAGAGUUAUAUGAUAGAGUGUUUGUAUGCUAUGUAUGUUAUGUGUUGCACUGCAUUCUUCUAUGUGAUUUAUGCUAUGCUUGUGUACAGAGUUAGAACCUGAGGGUUCACCGAGUAUGGGUGCACGGACCCACAGAGUUAUAGCCUCGAGUGGCUAAUAUGUGUUACAUAGUAUUUUGGGGAACUCACUAAGCUUUAUGCUUACAGUGUUGGUGUUAAUUAUUUCAGGUACUAGUGAGGAUCGCGGGAAGGCGCCGGCCUGAUCAGUGCACACACGCGAGACUUUUAUAUUAUGUGAUCUUGGGGAUUUUAUAUAUGUUAUGAAAUGAAUUACAAACAAUGAUGUUUUUAUGAAUAUUAAAUGAAGUUAUCUUUAUUAAAUGCGAAAAAUUAUUUUUUAAAAUUUUGGUGUUACACGUGAGUUACUCAUGAAUAAAAAUAAAUAUAAUAUAUGGUUUGAUGUUAUUUAUAGUUGUGGUUAUUGUUAACUAAUUUUUAAACUUUAUUUGCUUAACGUUUUAAUUUCUAUCAUUAUAACUAUUUAAAACAUUAAACAUUGUUUUUUGAUUUUCAAAGUAACAAUAUAAUCAUUUAUAUAGAGUUAUUUUUAACUAUUUUUAUUAUAAGUUAUUUUAAGCUACUUAUUUGAAAACUUUUAACGAUUAUAAAAAUAUAUCUUUAGGAAAUAUUAUAGUUAAAUUGAGAUUAUAAUUUAGUUUUUGCAUUUAGCACUAUAAUUUAUCACUUUUAACUAUUCACAAAAUAUUCAUUAAGUUUUUUAAGUGGAACUGAAAUUUAUAUUUAAGUUGACAAUAUUCAUUGAGUUAUAUUUAAAUUAAUAAUUUUAAGUAUUUUGUCUAAAUUGUUCAAAAGUUGUAGCUUUAAACUGAUAAUAGAUUACAUACAAGUUAUUAAAUCUAAUAAAUUAAGUAUAAUAUAUUAAAAGUUAAAGAUAUAACUUUAUAAGUAUAAGUAAAGAUAUUAUUUUAAUAUUGAAAUUUAGUUUAUUUAUGAUUACACUUUAAGUUUGAUAUAUUCAUUUAACCUUAUUAACCAACAUUUAAUCAUUAUUAGAAAGACACUACAAUUUAUCACUUUUAUCUAUUUUCAAAAUAUUAUUUGGGUUGUUUAAAUUAAACUAAAAUUUAUAUUUAAGUUGAUCGUGAAAUGAAAUAUUUAAAUUUAUAAUUUAAGUAUUUUAUACAAAUUGUUCAAAAGUUGUAGCUUUGAAAUGAUAAUGGUUUACAUCCAACAAUAUAUUAAAACUAAUAAAUUAAGUAUAAUAUGUUAAAAAUUAAAUAACAUAACUUUAUAAGUAGAAGUAAAUAUAUUUCUUUUAAUAUUGAAAUUUAGUUUAUAUAUGAUUACACUUUACGUUUGAUAUUUAUUUAAUCUUAUUAACCAACUUAUAAUCAUUAUUAGAAAGAAACUGAAAUAUCGUGGGAGUUUCAAAUGAAUGUGGUGAAAGGAAAAAUGUAUGGGAGUUUUAAAUGAAUGUGGUGAAAGGAAAAAUGUUUCAUUUAUAAGUAUAUAGAUAGUAUAGUUGAAAUAUUUACAAAUAUAUGUUUUUUUUUUAAAUAUAACAAUAACGUUGUUGUUAAAUUUGAUAUAAUAAUUCGUAUACUAAAUUUAUAUAACAUAUUGAUUAUUUUGAAUUAUAUAAUUAUAUAUAUCUAUUAUAACUGUAUAAUGUCAACCGUUUGAAUGACUUCUAUCCACGAGUUACUUAUGAAUAAAGUUAAAUAUAAUAUAUGCUUAAUGUUAUUUAUAGUUUUUGUUAUUGUUAAAUAAUUUUUUAAAAUUUAUUUUCUUAACGUUUUAAUUUCUAUCAUUAGUAUUAUUUAAAACAUCAUAUAUUGUUUUUUGAUUUUAAAGGUAACAAUAUAAUCAUUUAUAUAGAGUUAUUUAUAAUUAUUGUUAUUGUAAGUUAUUUUAAGCUACUUAUUUGAAAACUUUUAACGAUUAUACAUAUAUCUUUUGAAAAUAUUCUAGUUAAAUUGUUAUUAUAAUUUAGUUUUUGCAUUUAGCUUUAAAUUGAUAACGGUUUACAUACAACAUAUUAAAUCUAAUAAAUUAAGUAUAAAAUGUUAAAAGUUAAAGACAUAACUUUAUAAGUAAAAGUAAAUAUAUUAUUUUUAUAUUAAAACUUAGUUUAUUUAUGAUUAGACUUUAGGUUUGAUAUUUAUUUAACCUUAUUAACUAAAUUAUAAUCAUUGUUAAAAAGAUACUACAAUUUAUCACUUUUAGCUACUUUCAAAAUAUUAUUUGGGUUGUUUAAGUUAAACGAAAAUUUAUAUUUAAGUUGGUCCUGUAAUGUUAUAUUUAAGUUUAUAAUGUAAAUAGUGUAUACAAAUUGUUCAAAAGUUGUAGCUUUAAAAUGAUAAUGGUUUACAUCCAACAAUAUAUUAAAACUAAUAAAUUGAGUAUAAUAUGUAAAAAGUUAAAAAAAAAAAACAUAAAUUUAUAAAUAGAAGUAAAUAUAUAUUCUUUUAAUAUUGAAAUUUAUUUUAUAUAUGAUUACACUUUAGGUUUGAUAUUUAUUUAAUCUUAUUAACCAACUUAUAAUCAUUGUUAGAAAGAAAUUGAAAAGUCCUGGGAGUUUCAAAUAAUUGUGGUGAAAGAAAAAAAUGUUUCCUUUAUAAUAUAGUAUGAUAUGAUAUGAUAUGAUAUGAUAUCACUAGGCGAUUAUCCGCGCGUUGCGUGGAAUAAAAAUUAUAUAAUUAAAAGUUGACAAAUACAUGUUUGAAUUAAUCAUGUUAUUAAUACUAACUAGGAAAUAAUAGCUUAUUAUAUUAAUUUGUUAUGUAAAAUUGUAAUGAUUCUAUACCAUGUUAUAAUAUCUACUAAAAUCAUAUCAUUUAAUGGUUGUUAUUCGGAACUGAAAUAUGAAUAAAAAUAAAUAUAAUUCUCGAUUUAGUGUUACUUUUAACAUUACGAAUAAGUAAUUUAGAAAUUACUUAUUUGAUAUUUUCUUAAGGUAACAUAAUAUUAUUUAUAAGGUUAUGUUAUUUUUACCUAUUAGUAUUAUUAAUGGUUAUGAUUUAAAAACCAUUUAUUUGGAGAAUUUUCACUUAUUAAAAACAAUUAGUUUUGGAAAACAUAAGGAAUCCAUCUUAAGCUCUUUAGAAAAUAGAAGAAAAUAUUCUCCACUUGUGGUGCUCGAAUUUGUUCAACCUCGGUUAGUUGUCGUACCAUGAAGAAAACCAUCUCGUGUUUACUUUUUUCAUUCAUAAGACAAUAUUACCAUCUCGUCAAAUAAAACUAAUCAACUACACUUGUUUUACCUCGGUUAGUUGUCGUACCUCAGUUAGUUGUCGUACCAUGAAGAAAACCAUCUCGUCAAAUAAAAAAUUAAUCAACGACAAUAUGUUUGUUCGAAAAAACGAACAUGCAUUAUAAAAAUUGAUACUGAAAUACACUUGUUUUCUUCACAAAUGACCUUGAAAAUACUUUUUUUAUCUUUGCAUCAAUCAUUUUUUAAAGUUUCCAAUCUGACAUACAUCCAUCUCAAAUCCUUCCAAAAUAUUCUACCAACUUGAACUAUAUAUAUAUAUAUAUANNNNNNNNNNNNNNNNNNNNNNNNNNNNNNNNNNNNNNNNNNNNNNNNNNNNUGAGUUAAAAACUCUUGAACUGUAUUUCAAAAUAAUUAUUACAAAGAAAUAUGAAAAAAAUAUAAGUUUCAAAUGAAUGUGAUGCUUGGAAAAAUGCUUCAUUUAUAAGUAUACUAGGCGAAUGCCCGCACGUUGCGCAGAAACGCCUAUAUAGUUGAAGUGUUUACAAAUAUAUGUUUUUUUUUAAAUGUAGCAAUAAAGUUGUUGUUAAAUUUGAUAUAAUAAUUUGUAUACUAAAUUUAUAUAAUAUAUUUAUUAUUUUGAAUUAUAUGAUAAUAUAUAUACAUAUAUUAUAACUGCAUAAUCUCAAUCGUUUGAAUGACUUCUAUCCGCGAGUUACACAUGAAUAAAAUUAAAUAUAACAUACGUUUUAAUGUUAUUUAUAGUUGUUGUUCUUGUUAAUUAAUUUUUUUAAAUUUAUUCGCUUAAUCUUUUAAUUUCUAUCAUUAUAAUUAUUUAAAACAUUGAACAUUGUUUAUUGAUUUUAAAGGUAACAAUAUAAUCAUUUAUAUAGAGUUAUUUUCAACUAUUAUUAUUGUAAGCUACUUAUUUGAAAACUUUUUACAAUUAUAAAAAUAUGUUUAGGAAAUAGUUUAGUUAAAUUGAGAUUACAAUUUACUUUUUGCAGUUAUCACUAUUAUUUAUCACUUUUAACUAUUUACAAAAUAUUCUUUGGUUUUUCUAAGUGGAACUAAAAUGUAUAUUUAAGUUGACAUUGUAAUAUUAUAUUUAAAUUAACAAUUUAAGUAAUUUGUUCAAACUGUUCAAAAGUUGUAGUUUUAAACUGAUAAUGGUUUACAUUCAACAACAUAUUAAACCUAAUAAAUUAAGUAUAAUUUGUUAAAAUUUAAAGACAUAACUUUAUAAGUAGAAGUAAAGAUAUUAUUGUAAAACUAAAAUUUAGUAUAUUUAUGAUUACACUUUAGGUUUGAUAUUUAUUUAACUUUACUAACCAAUUUAUAACCAUUAUUAGAAAUACAUUACAAUUAAUUACUUUUAACUAUUUACAAAAUAUUAUCUGGGUUGUUUAAGUUCAACUAAAAUUUAUAUUUAAGUUGACCAUGUAAUGUUAUAUUCAAAUUAAUAAUUUAAAUAUUUUAUACAAAUUGUUCCAAAAUUGUAUCUUUAAAAUGAUAAGUAGAAGUAGAGAUAUUAUUUUAAUAUUGAAAUUUAAUUUAUAUAUGAUUACACUUAGGUUUGAUAAUGCAUGAGAGUUUCAAAUGAAUAUGGUGAAAGAAAAAAAUGCUUCAUUUAUAAUAUAGUAUGAAACUCAUAAUUAUUAUUAUAAAGAAAUUGAAAAGUCAUGGAAGUUUUAAAUGAAUGUGGUGAAUGAAAAAAUGCAUGAGAGUUUCAAAUGAAUGUGGUGAAAGGAAAAAUGCUUCCUUUACAAUAUNUAUAUAUAUAUAUAUAUAUAUAUCAAUGAAAUUGUUAGAUCUUAUAUAAUAUAUCUUUUAAUAAGUCGGUAUAAAUACUGUUUGUUUUGAGUUAUAUGAUAAUAUAGACAUAUUUUAAAUUAUAUAAUCCUAAUUGUCUCAAUGGCCUCUACUUGCGGGUUAUUCAUGAAUAAAAUUAAAUAUAAUAUAUGGUUUAAUAAUAUUUAUAGUUGUUAUGAUUAAUUAAUAUUAAAAGUUUUAUUUGCUCAAGAUUUUAAUUUCUAUCAUUGUAAUUAUUUAAAAAAUCAAACAUUGUUUUUAUUUUUAAAGGUAAAAAUAUAAUUUUUUUUAUAUAUGCUUACUUUUAACUAUUGUUGUUGUAAGUUAUUUAAAAUAAUACAUUUCUAAACUUUUAAUUAAUUUAAUUUGGUUUCAGAAAUUUACCCUUUUUAAAAUUUAUUUGAUGGAUAUUAUUAAUUUCUUUGAUUGUAAUUAUUUAAAACAACAAACAUUGUUUUUGUUUUUAAAGAUAAUAUUAUAAUUUUGUAUAUAAUAUUCGUUUUAACUAUUUUUAUUGUAAAUUAUUUUUAAGCUGCUUAUUUGAAAAUUCUUAAUGAUUAUAAAAAAUAGUUUCAUGGUUUUUUUUGUUAAUUUAGGAAUACAAAUUAGAUUUAACACUAUAAUUUAUAACUUUUAACUAUUUAUAAAAUAGUCUCUUGAUUUUUUUUAAGUUUAAUUGAUAUUUUGAUAUAAGUUAACCAUUUAACAUUAUAUUGAAAUUAAUAAUUUAACUAUUUUGCAUAAAAUCAUAAAUUAUACACAAGUUGUGACUUUAAAAUAACAAUUGCCCAGAUACGACAACAUAUUUAAACUAAUAAGAUAACUAUAAUAUAUUAAAAAGUUAAGUCAUAAUUUUAUAAAUAAAAGUAAAAUAUGAUAUUUUAAUAUUAUUUUUUUAGUUAAUUUAUGGUUAAAAUUUGGUUUUUACAUUAAUUUAACAUUAGCAACCAACUUAUAAUAACUAUUAGAAAGAAAUGAAGAGUCAUGGAUGUUUCAAAUACAUAUGGUGUAAGUAAAAAUGCAUCUUUUAUAAGUAUAGUAGAUGAAUACCCGUGCGUUGCGUGAAAUAUAAUAAUAUAUGUGAAAUUUUUACAAAUAUAUGUUUUCUAUAUAUAGCAAUGAUGUUAUUGUUAGCUCUUAUAUAAUAAAUCUUAUAAGAAUUUGGGAUAAACAUUAUUUGUAUUGAAAUAUAUCGUGUAGACAUUUUUAAAAUUUUAUAAUCUCAAUGGUCUCUACCUGCGUGCUACUAAUGAAUAAAACAAUGUUUGAUAUUUUAAAAAUUUUAUUUUCUUAAGAUUAAAAUUUCUAUCUUUGUAAUUAUUUAAAACAUCAAACAUUGUUUUUUAAAGGUAACAAUAUAAUUUUUGUAUGCAAUGUUAUUUUUCAGUAUUGUUGUUGUAAGUUAUUUAAAAUAACAUAUUUGGAAAAUCAUAAUUAUUUUAAUUUGGUUUAAAAAAUGCAACUUUUUAAAUUUUUUUUGAUGAAUAUUAUUAGUUUUUUUAUUGUAAUUAUUUAAAAUAGUCUCACGAUUUUUUUCAAGUUUACUUGAAAUUUUUAUUUAAGUUAAGAAUUUAACAUUAUAUGAAAAUUAAUUAUUUAACUAUUUUAUAUAAAAUCAUAAACUAUAUAAAAGUUGUGACUUUAAAAUGACAAUUUCCCAAAUACGAUAAUAUAUCUAAACUAAUAACUUAACUAUAAUAUGUUAAAAAUUUAAAACCAUAAUUUUAUAAAUAUAAGUAAAAUAUGAUAUUUUAAUAUAGUAGUUUAGGUAAAUUAUGAUUAAAAUUUAGUUUUUGCAUUAAUUUAACAAUAUUAACCAAUUUAUAUUAAUUAUUAAAAAGAAAUUGAAAACUCAUAAAUGUUUCAAAUGCACGUGGUUGCGGGAUUGGUGAAGGUGCAGUGGCAGCACUGAAAGGGUUCUGAGUGGUCAUGGGAGCCUGAGGAAUAGAUGAGGGAGCAUGACCUAGGGUUAUUUGUGACAGCGGACUUCGAGGACAAAGUCUGAUUCAAGUACGGGAGAAUUGAACGCCUAAUUUGUCAAUAAAACUCUUAGCAAAUUAUUUCCUUUCGUUUGGACUUUUGGUUCAAGUAUGCUGGGCGUACAUAUGGUUCGCCGGACAUACUCUAAUGGUUGUGUGAGGUGGGGUGUCCCCUACAUAUGUAGGGCAUACCCAUGCGUACGUAGCGCGUAUGUGAGUCAAGGGAAAACCCUAAUUUUUCGGGUUUACACCCUAUUUAAACACAUUAAGUCCUUCAAACCCCUCACCUUAUCAGCCUCCAUUGUCUCUUGAGCCAUAUCUCAAAACCCUAGCCAUCUUGAGAGUUUUCUUGAGCUUAUUAAGAGUUUUUGGGUGUUCUUUUGUGAUUUUCAAGAAGAAGGAACUUGGUGGUGUUGCAUUGUUGAAGUUGGAUCUUCAAGAUCUAGAACUAUCUUCUUCAAUACAAGCUUUUGGAGGUAAAAAGUUAUUACCUUGAUGGUUCCUUUCUUAUAUCUCUUUUCGUGGGUAGAUUUAGGAGUUUUGGUCCCACAACUUUGGUCUUAUGGAGUAUGGGACUACUCCAGACCAUUUAAGUUGUCCUUUUGAACACUUAGGAGUGCAUGGAGUCAUAAAAAUCGGAUCUUGAAUGUUAAAGAUAAACCAUGCAUGAGUUGGAGACCACUUGUGACAACCGUUAAAAUUCGAGUCGGUUCUAGAUUUGACUAAACUUAGUUGCACGUAUAGGCACGACACAUACUAGACUUAAUAACUAGAAGUUAAGUUAUAACCUACUGGAAACUUGGAAACAAGUAGAAUCGAAGGAUAUUGUGCUUAGAUUUCACAUGGUUAUGUGAAUUCUACAACUACUUAACUGUAGAGACUAUCCAUAUUUGGAUCACUCUUUGACUUGAACACCUUUUCAUGAAUCAUAAACACACACCAUGCAUUUGACCUAGUAGUAGAAAUUAGGUCAAAGCCUCAUAGAAACUUAAGUCAAGGUUGAAGACUAGGACUAAUAUACUUGAUUCCUCAAUUUCGCUUGAAUCUCGAAAUCCCUACAUAGAACGCUAAUAAACCAGUAAAAAUAAAUUAUAAGCAUUAUUUCUAAAUUGAAUAAGAGUUAGGAAACACAAAAAUAAUUUGAAGUAUCAAAGAUUUAAUUUAUUUCGAUAUUCAAAGUUUAUUAAACUCCAAAACCCUAAAAACCCUAAAUACCCAAUCUUAUAAACUUUCACCUUAAAAAUUCUAUAAAAAUAAUUAUGAACCUUAUAAUAUUAUAUUAUAAUAAUUAAAACUAUGAAAAUACAUUCAAGGAAAAUAAAAAUUUAAGUCAUUAACAUUUACCCUUAAAUUAAAAAUAAAAAAAAUAAAGGUUUUAUGAAUAAAAACUUAAUUUUAGUGUAUAUUUUAUAAAAAAAAUUGAUAUUUAUAUAAAAAUUGAGCUAUUUUAUAAAAUAAAUUGAAUUGAUAAAACUUGAAGAGGGUGGGAGUCUCUCUCCUCCUCAAAAUCGUCCCCCCUCCAAGAAAGCACUUCAUCAUUUGUUCUUUCCCACACUCUUCUCUCAUUUCUCUCUCUCACACACAUACCAUCAAAUUUUCUCUCUCCCUCACCCUAACCCACGAAUUUUGGCAGCAAAGUUCAUUCAUUUCUACUAAAAACAACAACGUUUGAAGUUGUUCUUGAGGUAAAAACGAAAAUCCUUCAUUCCCCCUUCAAUAUUCCUACAAAAUCUCAAGUUUUCUUACAUAUCUUCUUCUUCUACAACAUUCUUUGGAUGGAUUAUGAACCAUAUGUUCAUAACCAGGAUUAUUAUGAUGUUGGAGGUAGUAUUUCACGCAAAAACCAACAUACAUGUGAUGAUCUUCAAGCUUAGAGACUUGAUCAUCAAAGUUUGUUGUUAAAAAGCAUUUAAAUAGGUUCAUAAAUGAUUUAUUCCCAAAUAAAUAUCUAAAACUAAUUUUCUGAUCAAAUUCGAUUUUUCUCAGAAUUUCAUCAACAAAAUGAGAUGUUCUACAAAUUUUCUGAAAAUAAUUCAUUUUUCUCGAAUUAUUAUAAUUAUUGCAAGAAAAUAGGGCAAUAAUUCGUAUAAAAUACUUUCUGAGGUCUAUAUAUCCUAGGUAAAUUCUUGUAUGACCUGUAAAGUGAAUGAUGACAUCUCAGCGGGUUUCAUUGAUAUUUGUUACUUUUUGCUAUGGUUUUGAAUUUUCUUUUUGUUCAAUUCAAAUAAAUGAUAAAAACACUUUAAGAAAUGUGAAAAGGCUAUAUAUGAUUUUUUGCAGAUCCUUCCUAAUGUGGAGUACUCAGAAACCUAUUUUCAGAAUUUUUCAUAAUGCAUUCCUAUUUUUCCCCGAUUUUUGUAUUUAUAAUGGACUAAUAAUGGGAAAAAUAUUUGUACUUAGCCAAAAUUCAUGAAAGUUUGCUAGAAGACCUUAUAAUAUAUUAGAACUCUAAAUAAGUUUUUGGAUGAUUUUUCUAUUCAGUAUGCUAUUUUUCUUCUAUUUUCUAAGAUUAAAUACACUUAAAUCCACAAAAUCAGAUUCCAGUAGAUCAAAACCACCAUUGGUAUUUGUUCCAUAUUAUUUACAUUGUAAAUGAAGAUUACAAAAAAUUUGGUAAUUUACUUUAACUGUUUAAUAAUUAUUCUCUAAUUAAUGAUUAUUUAAGAGGAUAAAACAAAGAAAAAUAGAAAGACUAAUUGAAAAAUAUAUUUUAUAUUUUUCACAAUUUCUACAUGUAUAAUAACAGUGUUACAAAAAGUUUGGGCAAUUUAGAAACUGUUUUCUAUUUAUUUCAAAUUUUAUUAGAAUAAAUGCACAAAAAUCAUAAAUUUUGGUUAAACAAUUUUUAAAUCCAUUUUAAUAUUUUCCCAGCUUAAUAAUGUUUAAAAACUGUAAUACAAAAUUUUGGGCAAUUUUGGAAACUGUUUUAUAUCUAUUUCUGUUUUUAUUAGAAUAAAUGCACAAAAAUCAUAAAACUCGGUUAGACAAUUUAAAAAUCCAUUUUAAUAUUUUUCCCAACUUAAUAAUGUUUAAUAACAGUAAUAAAAAACAUUUGGGCAAUUUUGGAAACUUUUUUGCUAUUUAUUUCAAUUUUUAUUAUAAUAAAUGCACAAAAAUCAUAAAAUUGGGUUAAAUAGUUUAGAAAUACAUUUUUAUAUUUUUCCCAACUUAAGUAUGUCCAAUUACAAUAUUAUAAAAAUUUUGUGAAUUUUUAUCAUCUGGAUUCUAUUUUUCAUGAAUUUAUAUUGUUAUGAAGGCAUAAAAAUUUGGAAAAAUAGUUAGUUACAUCAAAAAUUCAAUGGAAAAUUUAUGGAUGACCUCUACUAUGUUUAGAAUCAAAAUGCAAAGUUUGAGAAUUUUUGGAAACUGUAUGAUAAUAUUUUGGAUUUUUAGGAGCUUAAAACACCUUUAAAUGUGUUUGAAAUACCCUCAAUUAAUAUUACUAGAAUCUGGAAAUUAAUAUCCAAAAUUGUCUUAAUCACAUGAGUUAUAAAAUUUCACCAUUUCAAAAAAAUGUUUGUAACUUAUAAAUAUUAAAUUUUGACACAAUAUUGGCAUAAUUUUAUAGUAGUAGUAAGUAUACUAGUGUUAGAUUUCGAUCAGAGACUCACUAGCGAAUACCAUUAUUGUAGGAAUCGAUAGUGGUAUGAGUGGAGCGUAGUUUAGGCACCAUUUGCAUAAUCUCAAUGCAUUGUGAGUAUUCACGCAUUCUCCUAUUUUCGGUUUUUAUGUUUUGGGGUGGAAAAGCAUGUCCGAAAAACUAUCAUUUGUUCGUUGUGUUUAAAUUGAUUUGUAUCAAACUUGAUUGCUAUAUUUUUCUAUACUUCUCUAUGUAUGUCUAUGCAACACGAAAUAUGAGACCUUAUCGUCUUAAGUCCCUUCUCUUAUACUUUAAUCCAACCAUUAACUCUUUGAGCCAAUGGUCAUUAUGGAUAGCGCUAUUAAGAAUUGACAACUCCUCACUCGCCCGAUUGCUGGAGUGCAUGAUACCAUAUAAUCUAUGGAACGAUAAGCCUAGAUCUUGAUAGAGCAACAAUUAUAGGCUUGGUUGGGAACUCAUUGUUUUCUCAUACACAUACAAACUCAUUACUUAUUAUAACAAUAAACUUUGUAUCUCAUUAUAACAACGAAGUUUUGUUACUAAAUACUUAUUUACUUGUUUUAGCAAUGAACUUGGUUGCUCCUUAUAGUAACAAACUUGUUUGCUCCUUGUAGCAACAAACUUGAUUGCUCAUCAUAGCAAUGAAACUUAUUUACUCAUUUUAGUAACAAACUUUAUUUCCCAUGAGAUUAUGAACGUUGCAUCUUAUUUGGGCAAAAUACUUUAUCUCUCAUGAUGACAACGAACUUUGUUUAUACAAACUUAUUUACUCAUUUCAACAAUAUACUUUUAUUUAUGGAAACUUUUAUCAAAACUUUGAUUUCGAUUCAUGAAACCAAUAUUAUUAUUUUUUUUUAUCUGUGAGUACUUACCAACUAUUUUUAUAAUUGAUGCUCAUUUUACAUGCUUUUUCAGGAAUCAUCGAGUAAGUGGCACUUAGGGACACAUCACUGUUAGGAGCAUUCACAUAUGUUGUAUUUCAAUUUACAUUGUAAUUUUUUUUAAAAUUUGUUCAAACCCAUUGUAAAUUUGUAAUGAUUUUUAAUACUAUGGUUGGUGUUGUCUUUUAACUUUUGCUAUGAAACCCUUUAUGCUGCCACACCUCAUGUUUCCGCUUUAGCAGGGUGUGACACCACUUAAGGGAGAUAGAAGGCUAAACCCAUGUUUUGAGUCCCAUUAAGACAUGCAAAAGUAUACAGUUUGCAACUUUAUGGCUUAGUGCGCUUUAAUGAGCUUAGAUAUGAAGUUGGACGUUAGGUCUUAACGAAUUAAGACCUCAAAAGUAAACUAUGGCCAACUGGGGCGUACACCGAGCGUACAUAGGUGUAUGUUGUGUGUACGCACCUGAAGUCAUGAUUAUGUAGAGCACCCGAGUACGUUGGGCAUACUGAUGGUACGCUUAGUGUACUCACCAGAGAGGCUUUUUGGGAUUUUAAUUCGGGCCACCUUGGGCUUAUGAUUUUGGGCUCUUGUUGGGCCGCAAGCUUUUCUGUGAUGGGCCUUUUUGGACUUGGGGCCCAUUUUGGGCAUGGAAUAUCUUUUGGGCAAGAGUCAAGCAGCCUUUUACCCUUGAAUUUGGGAUUGAGGGUUUGGUCUCUCGGGUUGGGUUAUUGACAUAAUUUCUAAUUAGGAUUUUAUUAUUUGUGAUUUAGUGAGAGGAUUCCAUGUUUUAGCAGCUCGAGUGUGAUUUGAUAUCGUCAGUUUGAGGUGAGUUUCCUUUGCUUUACUCGUGGGUCGAAGGCCCCAAUGGCGGCCCACUAUACUAUGUUAGUAGGAUGACGAUUAUCUUCGUGACAAUUUCCUAUAUUGCAUGUAUAUGCUUAUUGUGUCUGUGAUUAUUACUGUUAUGAUUAUGUGAUAGUUUUAGGGGUGAAGUAGAGCCGAUACCCAUUGAAAGAGACCGAAGGGAUUAAAAUAUACCCAAUACCGGUUGAAAGAGACCGAAGAGCUUGAAAUAUACCCAGUUUCAGUUUAAAGAGACAGAAGGGGUUGAAACAUACCCAAUACCAGUUGAAAGAGACCAAAGGGGUUGAAAUAGACCAAAUUAUGCUUUGAAUAUUAUGUAUGUAUGGUAUGGGAUAUUUUGGGGGAAUUCACUAAGCUUUGUGCUUAUGGUUUUCAAUUUAUGUUUUAGGUACCUCCAGCUCGAAAGGGAAGGGCCCGACUUGAUCGCAUCGCAUCUCCACAUGUUUUUUCGCAUUACUUGAUUUUGGGUUUUGUACUCUGAUGUUACUUUCAUUAUGAUACUCGUUCAGUUCUUUUUUCAUAACUAUUGGAUGUUUGAAAUGAAAAUUUUUAUCUAGAAAUUUUGGGGUGUCACAUUGUACACGACUUAUUAAAUUAUACCAUACAAUAUAAUAACUAGUUAUACUUUCUUUAAUUAUUAUUUUCACAAAACAAAAAUUAUUCCCUAAAUGAAUACAAGAAUUGAUAUUAUUUAUUAAUAAUAAUAUUAAUAAUAAAUAUACAAAAUGUGUCAACUUGAUAAAGGUGUAACCCUAUAGGAUCAUAUGUUAUUAGCAAUCUCACUCAAUAAUGAUUUCUAGGCAUAUGAUUUUUGGACAGACUGACAUAGAUAGUAGUUGGUGUCUAGCAAUCGGCUACUGCCCUUAAUAACAUAUAAAGGGUUCCAUCUUAUCAACAACCAAUUCCAGGAUCUCUAUGCUAAAACUGUUACUAAAGGUGUGGUAUCAGUUAUUCCUUUAUCGCAGACAUCAUGUUGAACAAGAGAUAUGGAUCGCCAUCAAUCUCAUUUAGUAUUCAACUUUUAGUAAGGCCUUAGAUGUCUAACGCUCAAUGAAUAAGAGGAACAAAUCCCAUCUUGACUACAUAAGCCUAUCAUUGUAGUUUAUGUCAUAUCCAAAGAUGGCCCUUAUAACUACCUUUUAUGGAACAACGUUAAACCAUGCCAAAGCACAACAAUUACUACACUUCCAGUCCCUAAUAUGUAUCUCAGGUCUAAGAAUACACAAAUACAACCCUGAUCAAAACAUCAAUCAUGACUACGAUCUAUAAAGUGAUUUUUUAAUGUGGACCAGGUCUAGUACUUAUUCUUCUAAUCUAGUACCUACGAAGUUGGUAGCAACUCUUGCUAUACUCCAUGAAAAUAAACCAAACCACUCAUAUUAUUCUUACCCCAUAGAUGUUCCCGUAACUAUGAACGACUAUAGACACAUAUAAUAACCUAGUUAUUCAAGGAUUUAAACAUGCUAAUAUAGAACACAAUAUUUAUUUAACGAAAGACUCAUAUAUAAUAUAUCAACUCAUUAAAAUAUAUGUUGUUUAUAUAGUUCCAACAUCCAAAUACAAAAUUUCAAUAAAAUACAUCCACUUGGAACAACAAGGUCCUAUAGCACCAUCAUGACUUUCAUGUUGUAGCUAAUGAGGGAACUUAGUUAAGUAGAUUCCACAAAAUUGAUUUGUAUAAACUUUGCGAAUACAAACAUUUUCAAUUUUAUCUAUAUAACUCAUAUAUAGAGAAAAAUAUUGAGAAUGUAUUAUGUGCUUAAAUAUGACUUAGAUACCAAUACUUGUGUAAUGGGAUUACUCAUAGUCAUAAUGAACUAUAGAUUAAGCAUCUUUGUAUGUGGUCCCCAGAACAACAAUUUACUCUAACUUUGAUGGGUAAUUGUAAUUAAAAAUCUACAUGGAACCACAUUCCAUGUAACUUUCUCUUCAUUCAUAAUGAGGGCACGCCCGAUUGUGAUUGAGAGUCAUCUCAAUCUAUUUGGAAGUUCAAUAUAUGUGUAACAAAUUAAACAUAUCUUUCUUUGAAAUACUCCGCAAAUUAUGAAUACUUCUUUAGUUCUUGUAAGUAAUUGCGAAUGUUCGAUAAGUCACACGAUGACUUAUUCUCAGAGUAUAUUGGUAUCUUUCGACAUGCUCCAAGCAUACAACUUAUUUAGCCUUCAUGUAUAUGUUGGAUUAAUGUCUAAGUCCAUAACUAUAUUUGGUAUGUACUUGACCCGACCCGACAUGGUCCAUUUGGGUUGCACUUCACCGACACAAUUUAUAUGGAUAGUCUUUUGAGAAUAGUAUAUUUAUGAUUUAUAUUAAUAUAUUAUAAGUUCUAAUAUAUUAAUAUGGAAUCAUAUUAUUUAAUUAGUAUUGAUCAAGAAUUAAUUUAGAAUUAAUUAAGUAUGAACUAAUUAAAUAUGGACUCUUAUAUAUAUGGAAUGGGCCAAGUUCAUUUAGGUUGGGCUAAGCUUUCAUGGAUACUCCAUGGAGUGUUUAACCCAUGGAUCAUAUGAAAUGAAAGUUCAUGGGUUUAACCCUAGUCUCCAUAAUAUAUAAAGAUGUCCUUGGUUGGUCAAAUUAGCACUAGUGUGGGUACACUAAGAGGGCUAGCCGAUUUCACUAGAGAGAACCAAAGUAUUCUUAUUCUCAAAGUCUUCCAAGGUGUUUUGAUGAUUUGUGAUUCCACUUGAGGCUUCCACACUAUUAGGGCUAAGCUCUUAAAGCAUGAAGACAUCGAGCUAUACUAAAAGGUAUGUCAUCUAACUAGUAUUUGUAGUAUAGUUGCCUCAUAGUAUGCUAGUUAGGAUUAAAACCUUGGAAAGUUCUUAUUUACAUGUAUAAUAGAGAAAACAUAGAUCCAAGGUUUAUAGGGUUGCAUGUACACCAUAGGAGUGUUAGAAUGCUCAAAACGCAACAAUAUAAUCAUGACAUUUAUGCUUAAUUCAAUUGCAUCAGCAUAUGUAAUACAAUCAUAUUAGCUAGUUCAAAGCAUUGUACUAGGAUUUGGAAGAAUGUUCAAAAUCAUGUCAUGUGGUAUUUUUACAAGAUAAUUCUCUCGGAGGUCUUUAUCUCAAGCUCUUUAAGAUCCUUGACAAAUAAUGCAAUUUUAUUUAAUCCUUUAAGUUGCUAUGAUCUAUCUACAUAGAUCUUUAUUCCAAUAAUUAGUAUGUCAGUUACAUAUAAGACUAGGAAUGUUACUGUGCUCCUAUUAGAUUUAUAGAAAUCACAAGAGUCAUCUUGAUUUAUAAUUAAGUCACACUAUGUAAUUAUCUUAUAAGCAAGAAGAUUCUUACUUUGAGAUUUUAGCUUAAAUCAUGGAAAGAUUUUCAUUCAUGUAUGUUUUCUUCUUUAAAAUCUCACCCACUCUUUAUAUUCAUAGUAUACCGAGGAAGAUUAAUCAAGCUUAUACUUGAUAAUAAUACAUGAAUGCAUCUUUAUGUGUUUUGUUAGUUUCUGAUCAACUAUUGAGUAGAUUCAGCAUCAAUUGAAAAACUUUGUAGUUCCAAACAAUGAUGCAUUUUGUUCAUGGUUAUUUAUUUCUUAUAGUUACAUAUUGCUCCCACUUAGAAAAAUAAUUUUCUAAGUACUUAUCUUCUGGAAUGACAAUUAGUGGGAUUAGUAGAAACUUCAUCCUAAACAAUCAUUUAGGAUAAUCCACAUAAAUGCAAUUAGUAGAUGCUAGAGUGGUUAAGUUUAUUGUCUAACAUGAGCUCCAUAACUCCAUACCUUCUAAAUAAGGAUAAACCAUUACAUCCUUAGUCUAAUGAAAGUUUUUAAUCUACUUGUUUGGUUGGAUAUAUAUAUAUAUAUAUAUAUAUAUAUAUAUAUAUAUAUGUGUGUGUGNUAUUAUUCGAAGGAUACCUCAAACAUCAAAAGACGUAUCCAAUUGACCAGGUGAUCCUGUGCCACAAGAACCAUACUAAUGACGAGUGGGUGUUUAUAACGGAAUGAGUUGUGAAUCGAUCCACAACCCUUUAAGAUGUUCCAAGAAGACUUGGCUUAAAAAAUCAUUUGCUUUAUCACAACGAAAGGUUAAUGAUUGUCUCAUUAAGUUGUAAUUCAAUCUUCACUAUGAAACAAUUUGAGCAAAUCAAAAUUUUCAACCAUAACGAAUAAAGUCUUCAAUGACAUUGACUAAACAUCUAUCGCCAAAUCUAUUCAUGGAUUGAAAAGAUUACAUACAUCACUUAUGUAUAAUUCAUUGUCAAGCCUUUUUUUCUUUAAGUACUAAUAGAUAAAGAUAAAUGCGAAUCAUCUUCCCAUCUAAAUAGGAUUCACAUAUAUCAAAUGAAUCAAGCUCAUUUGUCUUAAACAAUUCCAUCCUUUUGAAGUUGGUAUAUAUGUUUCAUAUUUAUAUAGCUAAGAUUAUGACAUAGAUAAGUUUAAAUCAUAUAUCAUUUGAUUAUUUAGGUGUUAUGAUCAGUACUCUCAAUUUUAAAGAAAGCUUACAGAUUUACUUCAUAAAUAACAUUGUGAGAAAAUAUUCUUAACACAGAAUACAUCGUUUCAGAACAUGAGUGUGAACAUUCAUUAGACAAUAAGUAAAUACAAAUUUAUUCAUAAAUUUCAACUAUUACAUGUUCGUAUAAGGAAAGGUACAAAACAUCUAUUGUUCAAAUACAGACUAUAACAACACUUGUUAUAUCUUUAACCAAAAAUACCAUUCAUCUGUAAUCAGUUGUUUAUUUAUUCAAAAACAUCAAAACAAAAUAUCAAUUAUCAGUGUCACAUGUAGUAUAACAUACUCAAGCGAAUGAUGGAAACAAUAAAUAGUUCUAUCACAUAGAUAUUUGAAGUCUUGUCCAAUUCAGGCUUCCUCAGCUUGAUGAGAAUUAAAGAAACGGUUCCUCUUACAGUGUCUAGUUUCUUCCACAAAAGAAACACUAAUCAUUUGGGUCCUUUCUUGAUAUUUAGAUGUAUGUUGUAUUUCCCUUAACUAAACUAAAAGUCUAUUUGAGUACACAAUCUAUUAGACUUCCUUUUAUUCAAUGUUUUCACAGAUUUAAAGCUUUCUUUACUGUUCAUAAUGAAUAUCUGCUUCACUUGAUGAGACAUCUGAUAUGUUCCAUAAUUAUCCAAGACUUUCUGCAAGUUAUGGUUAAUUACUCCAGUAUGAUGUGAAACACAUCAAUUUAUCAGAAUAAUACUUCCAUGAAAGCAUCAUGAUCAGACUGACUAGUUUGCAGAGGUUGUUCAGGUAUUGGAUCUUUCAGUAUAUAUAAUUUUUAUUUAUCCUUAAGAAAGAACCUGAAGGUAAUAUACCAGUUAUAGAUAUUAUAACUAUCAAAUGUUAUUGCUCUUGAAACUUAACAAGAGAGAGAUUUUACAUAGGCGUAAGAGUAUUAACAGUUAUACAUAGAAUUUAACAAAGUUUCAUUUGGUAUUUUCAAUAUUAAGUCUUAAAUAUUAAUAAGUUUUAUUUUUUGUAAAACAUUAAUUUACUAAACUCUAGGAUCUUGGUAAGGAAAAUAUAAAUGGUUAGGUGACCUUUAUCCCACUAACUUAAUCAAACUCGGUAGGUAGCGCCGAUUGCAUAAGAUAUGUAACUCCUAUAUAAUGGGAUCCUAAACAACUAUUGCUUAUCUUGGCAUGAUUGAUCCCAUGUAUGCAUCAGACCUCUCAUGCUUAGGUGGCCUUUAUCACACAAGAUUUGAUCAAGUCUUCCUACUAGAAACAACUUGUAGUAUUGCAACUAAAUAGUGACAAUGUGACCGUUUAGUCAUCAAAAACUACAAAUGUACCCCGAACAUCAUGAUACAAUCCUGUUGGUUAGGUGACCAUCACCACUAAGACCAUACAAAUGAUACUGAGUGUUCUUUAAAAGGACGGAAAUGACUUCCAUUUUUAAGAAAUGUUUUUAUAUAUGUUUUACAAUUAUAGUUAUAAAAAACAUGGUCUCAUGAAUAUUGCAUGCAUCCAACAAUUCAUGUACCGUUUUGUAAAAAUCAUAUCACUUGUUAUUGAUGGGUUAUGAGCAUUCUUACACUCCUAAGUGUACAUGCAACCCUAAAUACCUUGGAUCUAUGUUUUCUCUAUUAUACAUGCAAUUAUGAACUUUCCAAGGUAUUACCCUAUCUAGCAUACAAUACUUGAUACUUGGGUAAUCAAAUGGAUAGAAUACAUACCGUUGUUUGAUGUAGCUUGUCUUCAUGAAGCUUGAGUUCCUAGUGCCCCAAGUGUGACACCUCAAAUGGUUCACACAACACCAUGAACUCUUGGAAUAACCUUGAUAAUAAGGAUACUUUGAUUCUCUCUAGUGAAAUCGGCUAGCCCUCUUAGUGUACCCACACUAGUGCCAAUUUCACCAACCACGAACCUCUUUAUACAAUGUGGAGAUUAAGGUUAAACCCUAAUACCCAUGACCUUUCAUUUCUUAUGAUCCAUGGGUUAAACACNACAUCUUUAUAUAGUGUGGAGGAUUAGGGUUAAACCCUAAUACCCAUGACCUUUCAUUUCCUAGGAUCCAUGGGUUAAAGCUCCAUAAAAUAUCCAUGAAGACUUAGCCCAACCUAAAUGAACUUGGCCAACUACACAUAUAUAUCUAAGAGUCUAUACUUAAUUAGUUCCUUUUGAUCACUUAAUUAAUUAUAAAUGAAUUCUUGAUCAAUACUAAUUAAAUAAUAUGAUUAUACAUUACUGUUUAGAACUUAUAAUAUAUUAAUAUAAAUCACUAGUAUCCUUUUUCCUCAUCUUGUCUAUCCAAUUAUCCCGAUGCUAUGCAACCCAAAUGGACCAUGCCGGGUCGGGUCAAGUCUUACCAAAUAUAGUUAUGGACUUAGACAUUAAUCCAAUAGUCUCCCAGUUGGAUAAGUCUAAAACUAUUCUUGCGUAUGACUUCAAGAACCGACUGGCAAUCGUAGCUCUCAAAAGCUUCCGUCGAACUCUGACCUUGCUGAUGAUCUCUGACCUUAGUCAAUGACUUGUCCAUUAGAUAAGUGAUCAUAUAUUCCUCCAUUCUAGAUAUCAUAUGGACUGAGACAUGGAUUAUAAAUCAUUCUCUCUGUCCAUCUGUUGUUUCCCGAUUUCCGAUUUAUGAUGACUGACUGAUUGAACAGAUCAAAUCAGUGUUGGUUUGGCCAAGCACUCACAUGUAUCAUCAUUAAAUCAUCGAGGGGCCCACAAAUAUCACUUUUAUCCCGAAGGUAAAAGGAAUGGAUAAACUUCGACUCAUAUGGCUUGUUCUACUACUUGUUGAAUCAUACACAAAGGCACGUUUUAUAAUAUCGAGUUUCCAAUGCGUUUUCAUGCAAUAAAUGUACAACCAACUCAUAGUAACAACUCAUAUCUCUAGGUUUGAAGAAUAUAAGAUAUUAUCGUCUCAUGAUCACUCGUGAUAAAAUCCAUGAAGUGAUUCAAAUGAGCGGGGGUUGAAUCCAAUACUCAAAACUUAUGAGCACUCAUGAGUGUUGUAGCCCCUUUGUCCAACAUCUUAGACCUCUACAAGCCAACUCAUGACAGUCUUGAUUCAUAUAUACUUCCAACAUAUGACCAAAUGUGGAUGGUUUGAAUAACUUAAUCAUUCGGGAAGAGUGACCUAGUUUAUUCUGGAAGUCAAAACAUGCAAAAAUGAAACACAAGAAUAAUUGAAUCUAAUAUGGUCUCAGAACUUGUGAAUAUAAAUAAAACAACUUUUAUUUAUCACCAUAUGAUUAAACAUUAUUCAUUGCAUACUGUUUCAACUAUCAACUUUAUUCUUGAAUUAAAACAAUAGUUAUCCCAUUCUCUUAGCAUGUACAUUAUUUUUUUCUAAACAAUAGCUUCGUCAUAUACCAAGUAUGCACUCUAUGUUUGUCUAAACAUUAGUUAUGCUAUACUCCAAGUAUGAAUACCAAGUUUGUGUAUGAUCUUUACUUUUUUAAAUAACCAAUUGAACCAUGAUUCUAAUUUCACACUCCCAAGUCCUUACGACAAUGCAAGAAUUCCAAAUUCAUGCCUUUUACCAAAAUCUGUUCGAUUCUAAACUUAUAUGCAUUGGUCCUCUUGUAACGAUUAUACACAAAGUCACAAAGACUUUUCAACAAACAUUACAGAGUAUUCCAAUGGAGAUCAACUCCAUUGAACCGAAGUCUCAUAUUCAAAGUUCAUUGCCUUUGAACAUUCUUCUUGCAUUAAGUUUCUUACAUAGAUAACUUCCACCUAUGGAGACAACUCCAUAUUCCCAUUUUGACUACCCCUUCUGAACAAGAAUUGCCUCUUUUCAGAUUAGGUCAAUAUAGUCCUUCCAAAGUUAACACUACUUCCAACUGUCCUUGAGCAACCAAUCCUUGGUAAAACCUUAGAUUGUUCUCGACAAUUGCUUAAUCGCUUUAGUCAAAUCCAAUUCUACUUUUCCCCUCUUAAUGCCCCAGGAAUUUGGAAAAUUUUAGAAAGGUUGAAUGUUAUAGCACAUGUAAUCGAUCUUGUACCCAAAGCAAAUGGGGGCAUGAUUCAUGAUGUCUCACAUAAAGACAUGAUUCUAGACCAGUCUUUUGCUACAAUAUUUUCAUUUGCCAUGUUCUCAAGAUUUGACUAUGAAGAGGGAUGCCGUAAUCACAAUCGAAUUUUGAGAACGCAAUAUAUAGAAUUUCCUUAUGUUGAACCAAUCCAACAUGAAAUUCAUAUAUAUAUAUAUANNNNNNNNNNNNNNNNNNNNNNNNNNNNNNNNNNNNNNNNNNNNNNNNNNNNNNNNNNNNNNNNNNNNNNNNNNNNNNNNNNNNNNNNNNNNNNNNNNNNNNNNNNNNNNNNNNNNNNNNNNNNNNNNNNNNNNNNNNNNNNNNNNNNNNNNNNNNNNNNNNNNNNNNNNNNNNNNNNNNNNNNNNNNNNNNNNNNNNNNNNNNNNNNNNNNNNNUAUAUAUAUAUAUAUAUAUAUAUUCUUGACUAAAGAUGAUUAAAAUCUCAAUCUAAGCUUAAAAUCUCACUCUAAGCCUUUUAGAAUUGAAAUGAAGUAUAAUUUCCUCUCCUUUAAUUAUAGAAAAACACCUUUUUCAAUGAAUUGAAACUUUUGUUUUCUAUAAUUUACAUUGCUAACUUGCAAUACUUAUCAUAAUUUUCAUGCUCCCACUAAGAUGAUGAUUAUUAGCAUAACACUUAUGCUCCCACUAGCUUUGACUUGUACUCAGAAAUUAGAUUUGUGAUACUAGAUUGCUUUGAUAAAACUUUAUCAAUGUCUUACACCUUAUCUUACCUAGCUCAUAAGCGUGUCUAAACAAUUUAAGAACUAGGAAAAAGGAUGCCGUAAUCAUAGUCUCAAUUGUUUAGACAUUUUCCACUUCUCACAAGUCCAUGUUAGUGUGCCGGUUAACCACACACGCUCCACUAACGACUUUGAGAAUGCAAAUAUCACAAUUGCUAUCUAGUUAAAAUCUACUUAGUGAAAGUGUUUCCUCACCAUCAUUUUCAUGAAUCGGAGAGAAACCUUAUGACACUUAGAUUUAAUGGUGUAUGUGUUCUUAUCCAUGUGAAUUGUCAAAACCAUAAUCACAAGACAAGGUUAGUGACAAAUUCAAACUCUUAUGGAUUGAACUUGUGCAAUCUUAACUUCUUGUCACCUGGCAGCACAAGGGCCUGCCAUUGCUUCCAAGUUGUUAUGCAACCAAUUUAGAACUCUAAGAACUCAUAUGCAAAGUCAACUUUAAACGGAAUGGGCACAGAAAUAGAAAUAUGUCAACACGAUAUGUUAUAAACCAAACGUUGUGUGCUAGCGAUAAACUUACAUGUUUUUAUUCUUGAUUAUCCUUUCAGGAUCUUUAAGACUCCCACUGUCCUCUUGACAUAUAAGACUUUCUUGUCAGAUAUUCAAGAGAUAGUGUGGAUUCUAAUCAAGACAAACACUUCACAUAAUUGGCCUAAGUUGGUCUUUGUUUUAUCCAAAACAUCCCAACUUUCCAAUUUCAAAUGUACAAGAGUAGGAAACCUUUUACUUUUACAUUUGACUAGUGUUAAUAAACCUUCUUUAAGAUAUGUCACUCAACGUACAGUCUUGGAAUGACUCUAAGACUUUUUUUUUGGAAUGAAGUAUGACUCGUCUUCUUGAUUUAACCAUUCCAACAAUUCAAGAUUCCUUUUCUUAGUCAUAAGAAUGCAUUUAGAGGAUGAAUUGUGAUAAGGUAUCUUAAUCAUAAACAUGAUCAUAUAACAUGAUACUAAAGUACUCUCCCAUCCUUUCAGAUUUGAGAAACUUUUAUCCUUCUGCUUAAAUUGAUUCUUCUUAUUCGUUCUGCCAUACAUUGGAACUUUCCCAAUGUAUCAGAAUUAUACUUAAGCCUAUAAGUAUAACCAUAUUUACUAAACUUUAGUAAAUCAUGAUGAAUAGUCUUAACGAUUAUUUGUGGUGGGCUUGAUCAGUGCACAAGAAUGUGUACUCGAUCCCUUAGCCCAUCACUUGACUCACAUAUACAUGUGAACGAGGAACUAGUCUUAAUUUUCCAAAGCUGAAAGUUCUCAUUCAUCAUACUAUACAACUUGCAUGAUUUCCAAGUUUCUAUCCAACUGAAACCUUGGGUGAUGAGAAUCUUUCCUUAUUUGGUAAAUUUAGACACUACCACAAACGAAAGAAUCAAAUCCAUUUUCCAAUAUUGCUAUCAAUGGAAUCAUAUAAGCAACAUCUUUUUUCCACAAAUGCCAUUGUAAGGAUAUUUUAAAAUAAAUUAAAUUAAAAACUUUUCUAUUAUUUUAAAACUUUGUGGAAAAACAAAUCCUUACAAUGCAAAUGUAUAUGAAAACUUGUUUCCAUCUAUUCCUAAGCAAUUUAUCAUAAUUCUUAAGCACCUGCUCAAAAUUCUGAUCACCGAACCAUGCGAUCGAAAUCCAUCUUCGCGAUCAGAAUCAACAUAUACUUCCUUCUCCACUUUUUCCUUGAUUCUUAAAACAUCAAUAUGUGACCCAGUCACAUCUUGUAAUAAGAAUCUCAGAGUAGCAACUUAACAGAGUUAGAUAGUGGACUUUACCUGAAGUAGAGUCAAACUUAUUGACUUUAACAUCCUUAAGUAAAUUUAGCAGCUUCGCAAUCAAUGCCCCUUCCUUUGGCAAUUUAACACAUGGACUCUUUUAUAAUGGUACAUGAGACUAUCACAUACUUAGCAUUUCUCUUUACCAUUUGGUCAACUGAAUUGACUAUGGCUGAUCCCUUUCCAUUGGGAAGAGAAUGCUUUUUCUGGAUUUCCAGUGUCAUCAUUGUCAAUGUCCAUAAAGUUUUUGGGAAGUUGAUCUUAGCAAAUAGAUAAGAUCAUUAAGGGUCUUGUCAUAGUCUGUUUCAUAGGAGUCCCAAAGGAACUCACUAUGUGACUUAGAAAGUGAUUGAACCACCAACUUUCUCAAGACUUUGACACCCAACUCUCCCGGCUUGUCAAUAUGUGACUACAUCUCCAAGAUGUGACCACACCUAGACCUUGCCUUGCCAAUAGGGCCUGAGUGACCUUAAACUUUUCAAGAACUUGUGGGUUAGGGAGAAUAAUUUGAAGAGGUGAAGAAGUAUGAUAUCCAUGGGACAUCAUCUUCAUUAGGAAACCUUGUUUCAAGAGAUUUGGGAAGAUCAUAGGUGUCUAAACCAGACAUCUUUUGGGAGAUAUUCAAGAUAGUUGAUUUAAAGUCCUUAAUAUGACACCCAAUAUGAAAUAUUAAGGCUAGGACCCAACAAACUAUUUUAUAACUUAGAAGAGGUAUGCCGUAAUCCAAGCUAUAAAAUAUUUGAAGGUAGGUGAAUGACGAUUCACCAAUUUCCACCAAGAUAAACGAAAUGUAUUAUUAGGUUUUAAUUGGUUUUGAAACUCCUAGAUCUUUGAGAUUCAUUGAACUGUUCAAUGGCAUGUUUCAAUCUCGAGUGUGCCCUUCAGGUUUUGUGACUGGGAUGCCGAGGAUCACAAAACAAGGUGUGAAGUAACCAUGCAAAUUACUUGGUACCCUUAAGUGUUUACCCCUCAAUCGAUGUGCCGGUUAACCACACACGCUCCAUCGAUACUAUGAUAAACAUUAAGUUACCCUUUGCCUACCUUGUUAAAUACGAGUUAGUGUGCCGGUUAACCACACACGCUCCACUAACCGACUUAAACAAAGUGCAAAGUGUAAUUUCAUGGAUUAGCACCUUAUUCACAUUUUCCUAAGUAACUAAGAUUGGGUAUUUAUUAAAGGUUUAGUUACUUAGUAUUUAUCAUUAAUACUUUUAAUGAAGGGAGAAUUAUAGUCCUUGUCCUACCCGUUCGGCUAACGACCCUCCACCAGUCAAGGAAGCGGUGGGUGAGAGUGGACACCCAUUAAACUGCCAUUUUAUAGGCAGUAACCUUAUACCCCCCUUAUAGACCGGCUUCGUGAAUGAGGCCUACUAACGGUAAGACUGACUUUACUCUUAUACAUAUAUAUAAAUAUUAUUAACUUAUAAUAUUAUAAAGUAUAAGGGUUGAAUUUUAACUUUUAAAAUUCUAAGGGCUAACUUGGAAUUAAAGUAUUCAUAAGUGAAAACUUUUCAAAUUCCAAAACUUGAGGGAAAGUUUUGAAACUAUUCAAAACUAAUUAAUUCCAUAACUUAUGAGUUUAAAGUAGUUUUUAAUUAAAAAACUCUUCAAGUUCCAUAACUUGAGGACAAGUUAUGGAAGACUUUAAACUAUUAAAGAAUGUAACUUUUCUUCUUUUGUAACUUAUGGAACUAAUUAAGGCUACACAUUCUUAUUAUUUAAUGAAGUGACUCUUGAACCUCCAUAACUUGAGGACAAGUUAUGGAGUCAUAAAACCAUUUAAUGAGAACAAGACUCUUCAUUUUGUAACCUUUGCCAACUUUUAUGAGUUUUAAGAAACUUAAAUGUGACCUUUCAUGUAACUUGAGGACAAGUUACACAAACACAUUUUAGAAUCAUCUCUUAGAUUAAAAUGGAUUGAAAACACAUAAUCAAUUAACUUAUCUAUUAAUCUAAGCAACUCAUAUGAACAAAGAUAAUUCACAUCAAACUUUUUCAUGUAAUUAGCAUAACUUUUAAACUAAUACAAAACAUGAAUCUAUUGACAAUUAUCUUUGAAAUUGGAUUAGCAUGAACAUUACCACAUCAAAAACAAGUUUAUAAGUCCAAAAAUAUCUUAGGGUGAUGUUCCUAGUCCAAUUCCAGCCAAAACAGUCGAAUAUAUGCUGUCAGGGGGUCCAACUCGUCGAGUGCAUGAACCAACUCGGUGAGUUGGAUGAUUUUAGCCUUGCACUCGGCGAGUUCAUCAGUGGACUCGGCGAGUUCAUCAGUGGACUCGGCGAGUCUGCUGUGCUGACAACACCAAAAUUUGAUUUUUAAGCUAAUUUUGCAAGUAUAACAAGAAAACAAACCUGGCUCUGAUACCACUGUNAAUAUCAAUGUUGCGUUUUGAGCAUUCUAACAUUCCUAAGUGUACAUGCAACCUUAAAUACCUUGUAUCUAUGUUUUCUCUAUUAUACAUGUAAUUAUGAACUUUCCAAGGUAUUACCCUAUCUAGCAUACAAUACUUGAUACUUGGGUAAUCAAAUGGAUAGAAUACAUACUGUUGUUUGAUGUAGCUUGUCUUCAUGAAGCUUGAGUGCCUAAUGCCCCAAGUGUGACACCUCAAAUGGUUCACACAACACCAUGAACUCUUGGAAUAACCUUGAGAAUAAGGAUAAUUUGAUUCUCUCUAGUGAAAUCGGCUAGCCCUCUUAGUGUACUCACACUAGUGCCAAUUUCACCAACCAUGGACCUCUUUAUACAGUGUGGAGAUUAGGGUUAAACCCUAAUACCCAUGACCUUUCAUUUCUUAUGAUCCAUGGGUUAAACACUCCAUGGACUAUCAAUGAAAGCUUUGACCAACUUAAAUGAACCCAUUACACACACACAUACACACACACACACAUAUAUAUAUAUAUAUAUAUAUANNNNNNNNNNNNNNNNNNNNNNNNNNNNNNNNNNNNNNNNNNNNNNNNNNNNNNNNNNNNNNNNNNNNNNNNNNNNNNNNNNNNNNNNNNNNNNNNNNNNNNNNNNNNNNNNNNNNNNNNNNNNNNNNNNNNNNNNNNNNNNNNNNNNNNNNNNNNNNNNNNNNNNNNNNNNNNNNNNNNNNNNNNNNNNNNNNNNNNNNNNNNNNNNNNNNNNNNNNNNNNNNNNNNNNNNNNNNNACACACACACAUAUAUAUACAUAUAUAUAUAUAUAUAUAUAUAUAUAUAUAUAUAUCUAAGAGUCUAUAUUUAAUUAGUUCCUUUUGAUCACUUAAUUAAUUAUAAAUUAAUUCUUGAUCAAUACUAAUAAAUAAUAUGAUUAUAUAUUAAUAUAUUAGAACUUAUAAUAUAUUAAUAUAAAAUCACUAGUAUCCUUUUUCCUCAUCUUGUCUAUCCAAUUGUCAUGAUGACUGCAACCCAAAUAGACCAUGCCGGGUCGGGUCAAGUCUUACCAAUUAUAGUUAUGGACUUAGACAUUAAUCCAAUAGUUAUAAGGUUCUUUAGGUACCAAAUAAAACUUCAUUUUAUGUAGAAUUAGCCGCAAUAAAGUAUAAACCAAAAUCCGAUAUUUUAAAGUUUAGUCAUAGAGUGGUUUUAAGAACCGGUAAUAGUCUUAAUAAAACUUCAUUUUAUAUGUAAGACUUGGAGUUUUUGAGGAGUUAAAAAAUCACAAUUUUAAAUCGCUUUUUAACAAUAAAAAAUUUAUGACUUCGUGAAUUUGUAGAAUAAACUCAUUUUUUUUAUUAACUCAAUUUUAUGCAUCUUAUGAUAAAAAUCAUAUUUUGAUAAGCCAAAACUUGUGUGAUGAUACUUAUGUUUUAAAUCUCAUUUGACAUGCAUAAAACAUAAUAUCAACAUGUUGCGUUAAGUUUAAACACUAAUAUCAUAUAUUAAGUUUCAACAUAAAAAUAAUCACUAGUUUUAUUAUUCGCCGUUAUAAUGCUAUAAAACGAGUUUAGUCUUUUUAAUUAACCUCCUUAUUUAUAAAGACAUGGAGUUUAUAUAAUGUUUAAACAUAUUUUAAACCAUUUGUAAUAUUUUAAAGUUGGUUAUUUAUAAGUUUUACGAUAAAACUAUUUUUAACAAAAAUCGAUUUUUAAGCGGUAAACUGGUAACCGGUUAAAACGUUUUUAUAAAUAUCCAUUUAUAAACAUCUUAUGUUAUAUUUUAAAUAUUUUUACUCAUACUCCAAGUGAUAUUAUUUUAUGAUAAAAUGUUAUUUGACAUGUAAUACACAUUUUCAUACAUAAAAGAUAACAUGCAAUAAUAUACGAAUAAACAUCACAUGUAUGUUUUAAAAUGUAUAUAAACCAAGCCAUGUCUAGUAAUAAUUUUUGUGAGUUAUCACAAAAAUUAUUAAGUCUUUCCUAAAGGACUUACUCUUCAAAAGGUCUUCAAGCUCCCACUUGCCAAGACAACUCGUGUUUGCAAAAGAACUUCAAGUCUUCAUGUUGUAAAGGUUGCAACACUUAAACCAUUAAGACUAUAAUUAAGCCAAAAACCAAGAGUAGAAGCUCAUCAUUGAGAUUAUGGUCUCAAGUGGUUAAGUCAUCUUCAAAAUGGUCAUUUCUUUAUCUUGUUACAUUUAAAAAUAAAUACAACUAGUCUAACUAAUUUAUUACAUCAAAUAAACAAAUAAGAAAAUGUGUAUUUAUCUAUUACAUCUUAUGAAUAAAUAUAUAUCAACCGAACAAAACACAAAUGUCCAAAUGUAUUGUUCAUACACAACACCAUAUCAAAUAUAAUAACAAACAACUCUUUGUUUUUUCUAAGGAAAGUUUUAUAUAACCAAAAUGCAUGAAAAACAACUCCAUGUUUGUUUUCCACAAAGAUUAUUGUUAGGUCCAGUUAGUGUUGCGUCUUGGGCUCGUUAGUUAGUCUAGUUUAGUCUCCGGUAUGGGCCUGUCCAUCCGUGAGUUGUUUUGUUGGGUUUAAUAUUUAUAGAUGCUUGCAUGCAUUCUUGAACGUAAGAUUUGAUAGAGAUUUAGCGUUCAUAGUUCUUAUCUUUUGUAACCCUAAUAUCCUCUACAGCGGAAGUUCUUCAUCGAGCUCUGCUGAGGAUUGAGUUAAUUGAAUCAUUCGACACAUUCAGAUUCAUUCUUGUGUUUUGUCUUACUGUUUUUGCUUUCUUGAUUCACCUGUUAUAAGAUCUAAUCGAUCAAGAGUUUUAUAAACUCAUCAAUUGGUAUCAGAGCAGGAGGCUGUGUAAUUCAUACACAUCUUCUGUGAAAGAAGUGAUUAGGGUUUAUUCCGCAUUAACUGAUAUUUAUUGAGCCGUCACUCCAUAAUUGACGUAUCUCAUUAUUUAUUCGUUUUGCCCUAAUAUUACAUAUUACAAGUCUGAUCUUGCAACAGGUUAAACGAUCAAGCAUGGACGAUUCUCAAUCUAAUCCUAUCAACAUCUCAAACAGUAUUGGAUCUUCAACAAAGAUUCCAAUUCUUUACACUCAAGAUUACGAGGUUUGGGUGCAUCAUUUCGAAGACUACGUAAUCGGAUCUGAAGAUAAUGGGUAUCUGAUAUGGGAAGCCAUUGUGUCUGGACCAUUUGCUCAUUCAGGAACAUCCAGAAUUAUUAAAACUCAGAAGGAGUAUAACGAUCUGUUAAAGGAUGUGAAAGACGUCGCUCAGGACGAAAAGGAGAAGUUUCAGUGCAGCAUCAAAGCAUUGAGACUGAUUCGAUUCGCUCUUCAAUCUGACACGUUUAGAUUAGUGAGUUCCUGCAGUACCGCUAAAGAAAUAUGGGAUCGGCUGUGAGAGUUGUAUUCCACAGAUGAAGAUUUGGAGCACUCUAUUCAGACCUUGAUUUUGUCUGAGUUUGGAGAAUUUAAGCAAAAUUCCACUGAGUCCGUUACUCAGACGUUUGAUCGCUUCAAUCAUCUUCUUAGUAAGGUGAUCAAACAUGAUAUCAAAAGGAAGCUUAUUGAACAGAAGGUUACCUUUUUGAAUGGCUUAAGAUCCGAAUGGAGAGCUGUUGUGUCUACAGUUAAAGCUCAUGAACAGUUCAAAUCAUAUUCGCUGGCGAAACUGGUGGGAAUUUUGAAAUCCCAAGAAAAGAUAGUGAUGCAAGAGAAGAGUGUGGUCUCAAAUUUAGGGUCCUUGGCCCUCUUGUCUAAAAGCAAGAAUGCAGUAGAAGAUGAAGAUCUGAACCUGGAGGACUACGAUCUAACUUCAAAAGAUUAUGCUAUGAUGGUGUCCAAUCCAAAAAGGUUCAUCAAGAAGAGGUUUCCUACCAAUAAGAACCAAAAUUGGCAGGGAAGCUACAGUUCAGAAAAAGUAAGGGAGGAGCCGAAGACUGAAGAACCAAAGAAAGAGGUGAAGGUUGAAGCAGAUUCUGGUGUCAGCUGCUAUUACUGUGGAGGAAAGAAUCAUUAUGCCAAAGAUUGUGUUUUGAGGAAAAUGGCAGAGAAAGAUGAGGAGAAAGAUGAAGAGGCAAUCCUGAUGAAAAAGCUAGAAGAGAUUAAAAGGAAGAAAGCUGCUACUAAUCCUUCUAUGAAUGCUCUUAUUGUACAGGGUUCGGCAGAGGAUGACGAGUUCGGUGGCAUACAGGUGUGGUCGACCGACUCAGAAGAUGAUGAGGUGAGAAAGCCUUCUCAUGGAAGGGCGUAUGUCGCAAGAGGUGGUGAAAGCAGUGGAAAGUGUCUGAUGGUGACUGAUGUAUCUCACAUGAGGGGAUAUAAUACAGAUGGUGGAAAUGAGGACACCAAGGAGCGAGACGACUUAUGCUUCACAGCAAAACCUCUCAGUGUGUAGAUCAAUGAACAUGAUGAAUUGAUCAAGAAGGUACAAUCUCUUUUUAUUUCGUUCAAAAUUCCACAGAAAUCAUAUGAAAAGGAAUUAAAUAACUUAAAUUCAAGAAUCUCAAAUCUGGAUAGUUGUUUAACUCAAACACUGGUCACCAAUUCUAACCUAACUGACCAAAUAAGCAGGGUGUCAUCCAAGAGUGAGGAGCGAAGGAUGUGGAUUGAGCAGAAGGAGUCGGAGCUGAUUAAGUCUAAGGAUGAAAACAUUUAUUUGCAAAGAGACAAUUUGAAACUUUUAAAACAAAGAAAUGUUUUUUGUUUGAUUGCUAAAAGACUUUAUGCUAACAUUACUCAACUGCAUCUGAAUUGUGAAAUAGGACAGAAGAUACAUCGCAUGAUUUUACCCUUCCUUGAGUUUAAGGAGGAUGAAAUCGAUGCUGAAGCAUACAACUGUGAAAGUGUUGUAUCUUCUGAUGAUGUGAAUCCUACUUAUAUGUAUGGUCUGGACAAAAUAGAAUCUUUUAUAAAGUCCAAAGACCAUAAGGACAUGCUGAAAAAUCUUUUGGAUGAAAACGAUAAGCUGAAACUAAGGACCGAAACCAUACAAAAAUUCGACUCAUUGAGUGCCAAUUUAAGUUCAGAAAAUAAAAUUGAUGUUGAAAACGCAUCUGAACUUAAUGAGGACGAUGAUAUGAGUGCAAUUUCUGUAGAGGUUGAAGUUGACUGUUCUGAGUUUGUCAAGAGCGAACCCGAAAAUCACAAAAAUCUAAUUUCUGAAAAUUCUAUGGAGUUUGCUCACUUGUCUAAAAAUAAGUCCCCGACCCUUAAAGAAAAAGCUCUUGUGUUUCAGAAGGUUAGAACUACUCCAAAUCAGGUAUAUAAAGUCACAGGAGUAACCGAACAUCAAACAGUCGAACUCACUGCCAUAGUGAACGAAGAUAACUCAGAUGGCUGUGAUGAGUUCUUCUGGUCAGCUCCUAUAGAUAAUGCAGACGAAACAUUUGGUCUGUCAGAGCGAACGUCCUGGAAAACCAAAGGAAGAUAUGUUCCAGGGACGCUGAAUAAGCCUGACAACUUUGACGUGCCAAGUACAAGUGGCACAAAAGAAAUACCUGGAGAAGAAGUCACCUCCACAAGCGAAACCUCAUCUAUGAAGAGUGAACCGGCUGCCAAGAAGCUGAAACAAAAAGCUAAUAUCCACAGACAACCGAAACAGGUGAAAAAUCAAAAGCAGCAGAGAAACCUAAGAUACAAAAAGAAUCUCUCAGAGUGAAAGCAGUUUUGGCGCUCUCAAAACACUCAUUUCUCUUAUCCUGAUAAAAAUUCAAAGUCAGAGAAAAAGGCUUUCAAGACGCAUGAGGAACAGAACCGAAAGGUUAGGUUAGGUCCCAAGAGCAACAACAACCGAAAGGACAGGUUCGGUCCCGAGAGCAACAACAACCGAAAGGAUAGAUUCGGUCCGGAAGGCAAAAGCUACCGAAGGUCCAGGUUCGGUCCCUCAAAUGACCAAAAACAAAAGGGUCAUUUAGAACCUCAAGUCAGGAAAAAUUCCCAGUCUAAAUUCACUCGUUCUGAUUACUCAAUUCUCAAUCCUUUUCUAAACCCAAUUCUGUUCCUGCACAAAAUUCAAAA
rnacentral:lncRNA from 1 species